rnacentral:lncRNA from 1 species
CAAAACUUCUAAACCUACAUCUAAUGGUGCUGCUGAAAUCAUCUUUCCUUGAUGGUUUAUGAACCCUUAGAUGAGUUUUGUCCAUGAUGAUCUUAGUGUAGGGAUUAAAGCCAAGUGGUUAGGGAGAAAGUGAUCCAAUGGCGAUGAAAAAAAACGGUGGGAAAAAGAAAAUAGGAUUGUGUUGCAUUUCCUUGUAUUUUCGCUUCAUGUUUCUGCUCAAAAACGAAAUAUGGAGAUAGAGCUCGGAUCACAUGAAGCUCACGCAAGCGUGAGCUUGGUCUGACACCUCUUCUCUCUUUUUUAAUUUUUAAUGCUAAAAAUGCCUAACGAGAAAAAGGAUUAAAUAAAAACAAAUAAAGAUAAAUAAAUUAAUAUCUAGAAUGCCAAAAUGAAAAAAUAAAAUCAUGAGAUUAAUAAGGUAAAAUAAAUGACAAUUAACAAUAAAUAAAUAAAUAAAUAAAAUAAAAUAAAUAAAAAUUUGGUGUCUACAAGGAGAAUUCGAAAAACUCCAUUUCCUUAAGAUUCGGAAAUUUCAGUUUUGAUACGAGAUCUUUGAAAAAUCACAUCUCACUCUUUACAAGUCCAAAAUUGGAAAACUUAGUACUGUUGGAAAUCUCUUAGGAAGUACUAAAAGUUCCUAGUAGCCAUCUUUCCAGGAUUCUAAAUGGAAGGUAUCCGAAAAUUAGCUCAAAGUUGCUGUUUUGGGGCAUUGAAGACAGGUUUAAGUUGGUUUUUGGUCAACUUUGAAAAUUUGGCAAAAUUCACUUGAUUUGAACUAACCUCUCGAAUUUGGAAAUUUGUUAGGGUUGCAAUCCACGUUUAAAACAAAAUAAACGGAACGAGAAUCAGAGUUUUGAGCACCAAGAUACAAUAGCUCAAAGUUGGUGAAAAAUCGAAACUGUUAAGCCAAUUUUCCAGAUUUAAGUUCCAAACUUUGGGACUUUAGUUAGGUAUCGAAAUGGACUCGGAAGAGUGCCAAAUUAGGUAUGAAUAUACUACCAUAUAAGGGCCACUCCUUUGCCAAAUUUCAUAGAAAAAUAUGUUCGUAAAUUGGUUAACGAGACCGUUGAAAUCACAAGAAAUUCUAAGGCUAAGCUGCCUUUGAACUUCCGUUUUGCCGUUUCCAAGCAUUUGGUCAAGAAACAUCUCAAACCUGGUCCAUUCCAGUAGGUAAUGUCUAAAAUAUGUCCAAGGUACAUUUGAUAGGUGAUAUACACUAAGAAGUUUCGGAUAACAAGUUCCAAAUCAUUGUUAGUUUCAAAUCUGUCCAAAUGCAUGGUAUUUCUUCACAAUACCAGAUUCCAAUUUUGGUCAUAAAUCACUCAAUUCAACUCGAAAUUGAGCAUGGUUGGUGGCGUUGGAAAACACAUUCAUAGAGAUACAAUUUUUUAGAAGAAACUAUUUUCAAAAUCUGUCCACAACUAGCCCACAUUUAAGCAUCAAGUUGUAGUUCAUGUUCUGCCUUCCAGUGAACCAACGAAACAGUGCAGCCAAGUUCAAAUAGUUGGUGUGGUUCACUCAGGUGGAAUCAGAACGUGCAUUUUAUACCGUUGGAAAGUUGGGAAUAUUUAGUUUCCAGUGCCGCAAAUGGAACUCGAUUUCGACAUCGGGACAAAGAGUUAUAGUCUAAACAAAAUCACUGCCAAAGUAAUACGGGACACAAUUCCAGUUUUGGCAAAUUUUCUAAAUCUCAACAUGCACUCACCCAAAUCACGUAAAAUUUUGAGAAAACUUUUUACACAACAUAUAUUACACAUUUGCAUCAGAAAGAAGUCAAUUGGACUUCAAGAAAGUACACUAAAAUGCACGAAAAUGGCAGGGCAGAAUCGGCACCUUCACAUGCAACCCUUCAUUUGACUUCCUUUUCACUUUUAUCACUUAACUCUACUAAAUUAACACUUAAUCAACACAAUUAACAUCCAAUCUUAUCAAAUCAGAUCAUCAAAGUCAUUGUGGGAUUUCAUAGAGCCCACUCACCAAUUUUCUAACAAUUUAAAGCUGCCCAUGAGAAUCCAAGAGCUCAUGAGUGUAAUCUAUCUUCCAUAAAUCAAGAAUUAAGUGGUUGAUCAUUAUUACUUUCUUAGAGAGCCAAGAUAGAAAUUUUGGUCACUUUGAGCUGGAGAAAAACUGUGAGAGGCAGCUCUUUUCCUAGCUUAUCUUGAUCACCAAGUGAUUUGAGUGUUGUGUGUAAAAUUUGGAGGUAAUUUGAGCAAGGAAUUGAGGAGAAAAAGUGGAGGAAUUUUCUGGUCUUGUUCUUCCUUUGUUGCUCGGCUGUUUGAGUGUAUGUGAGGAAGGAAAUUCUGAUGUUAUUAGCUUCUAAGGUAGGCUUAAAACUGGUGGCUCAAAUUUGCUCAAAGUUGUCCACUAAAAUAAUGCACGUGCGCGUGCGUUUCGUGCUCGAUUCCUCUCGAGUUUAUUGCACUAGUGCACUAAACCUCUAAUGCACUUACAUUCAUAUUAUUAUUAUUCACUCUUAAUAGUCCCAAAAUAAUGGUCUAAAGCUCCUCAAUUACUCGCGCGCGUAAAAACGCAUAUGUCUAAUUUAAGCGCGAGAUAGUGAAAUUUAUAAGAAGUUCUUAUAACAGUAAUAUAACUAACUAACCUUUGAACACUUAUACAUAAAAAUACCUAUUUUAGGACUAAUGUACAAGUCUCCAAUUUUCCAAGUUUAUUGUAUUCUCGAAUCGAUUUCCUCCUGAGGAGCGUUUUUAUUUUCUUUGUUCCAAACCAUCCAUGAUGUUCCGUCGCUCUAGGUGGACUAAAACCAUACAGAGCAAUUCUCCUGAAAAUACAGCCUGUUCCGACAUACAUUGGACCUUGUAAUCCAUCAAAAGCCCUCAUACUCACAUCAAAAAAUACGGUGUUGUGGUUUGCAUACCGAUCAUUUGGAUCAAUCCCCUCGAAUCGUUGAGGGAAUUGUACGUAACAAAUUCUGUCACCACCUCGGUCUAGCAUAAAACACAUUCCCUCCCUCAAUGCCAAGAGUUAUAGAUAUAGUGGUCACAGUCCAAAUUAAGAAUGAAAGGGCCGUUGGACAUAAUUGCCCUGGCACGGACUAGAGCAUUCAUGGCUCUAGCUUUCUUGUUGUGUUCAAAACCACGCCGCUUCUCACGAGAGACAUAAACCAGCAUUGGCAGCCGGAUAUCAACUUCUGCUGUAUCAAUCAAGUUGUCCUUAUCAGCUUCAGUCCCAAAAACUGGCUCUGAAUUAGGCGGCAUCAACAUCAUCUGAAAGAGCGAAACAAGAUAUUAGCAAUGAAGAAUCACAUCAGACUAAAGGAGGAAAAUUGCACCAAAGCCAAGAAGUAAAAAUGCAAUUUACCUGAAUAAUGCCCUCAUGAUCACCUUUUGAAUGACCUUCCUCUCCCGAUGUCCAAGUUCCGGGCCAAUGAGAGCCAUUGAACAUCCAAGUAGCCUUUGGGGCCUUAACGGCUUCUGAAAGAUUGUCCCCAAGUUCAAGCUGUUUCUUCCUAGCCCUUAAGCUCUGCUUGAGCAUUGUAUGCAUUCGAUCUUCUCCUUAUUGACUCCGGCAAGGCAUUUAUCCUGACUUUGAAUUCAUCAUACUCUCUUUUCACUCUUCUCCUGUCCCUCACAAAAUCAAUUUUCACUUUGUUCUUGAGAGGAUCACUCUUCUGACUAAAGUAUGCCUCCGGAUUGCGAGGUACAAUGUUGUGUUUCCUACAGAAGGGAACCCAAGAUUUUGAAAAGCUUGCAGCCUCGGCAAGAGCCUCAAAUGUCACCAGAGAACUUCCAUCAUCAGAUAGAUAACAUGUCACCUUCUCCAUCGGAUAAUCAACUGCAAGUAUAGAAAGAAUAGUGUUUGCAGUAACUAGAGGUGGCUCUUUGUCUGGAUCAGCUGUAGAGACAAAUACAUCAAUCCCUGGAAGGUCAGAUAAUGUUUUGGGAUUGUUGAGGUUUGGAUCGGAUGAUUCAAAUCUCUGCUUCAGAACCGACAGGUCGGUCACCCUUUUCACAGGGCAAAGCUUAGGUAGCUGAUCAAGAAGCCAAGACAGUGCAAACCAAAAUUCACAGACAACAGACAUUAUCCAUAACCACAUUGCUUCAUGAUUAGGAUGUGACACCCUCCAUGUAAGGAAACAGGCAAGUGCAGCAAGACGAAGAGCCAUCAGUAAUCUACACAGCCAAGCCAACAUAAGCUUGCGUCAAUUUGAAUUUUUCGGUAACAAUGUCCUACUAACUAUAUAUAUAUGCACAAGUGGAGGAAUAAAAGGAAUUUGCAUUUCUUAAACUAUUCAAGGUCCUAGAGCGUAGCAAAGAUGAAAAAGUCAGAGCAACAGUGGACUGAAUCUCAUACGACAUAAAUUAGUCAAUGAUCAAUCGCAGAUUAGAGAAACAUAUCCUUGUCCGAUAACAUGCUAGUAAAUUCUUCAAAGUAAGAUCUUUUUCAUCAUGGAAAAACCAAAAAAUGUAUAACAAUUGAGCAGAACAAGUAAACAAGAACUAGAAAACAAAACUCUGGUUGGUUUUGGUUCUGACCUGUAGGGACUGAUUAUUGCAGUAGAAAUUCCAACUUUCCUAGUUAAGGGCUUGUUUCUCCGGUCCGUGAAAUCGGGAGGAUUUUGAUGUCGCUCAGUUCCCAUUCCAGACACGUAUCCAUCUCUAGGCCAAACUGCAUUUCCAUACCCAUAAGUUCCUUUGGUCUCAAACAGCCAUUGUGCAUGAUCAAAAUCAUGGUUUGGAUUCUUGAAAGACUGAACCAAAGAGUAAUUCUCUCCCACUCUGAUUCGCGGUUGGGACCGUGGCUCAUCCUGAAUUUCGUCAUCAAUAACAUCUCCCCUGUAAGGCUCUUUGCAACCGGGGCAUCUUCCGGCUCCAUUUUCAACGCAAUCAAAGAAGCAAUCCCUGUAAAUCCUGAAACCACACUCGCACUGCAUUUUGGAAUUCCUAUCAAGAGCUUUCUCAUCACAGCCCUCGAUUUCACAUACCAGAUUUGAUUUUGUCUUCACAUUUGGUAGCUCAACUUCCUCGGAGCUUUUCCUGACGUGAGCUCGAGUCACCGAAUUGUGUCCUCCGGUAAAAAUGGUAUCUUUGAUGAAGCCUGCACUAGGAAUUCCCCUGCUUUUGCUUCUGUCUAGAGGGCUGUUCUGAGAUCCAGCGAUUAUCCGGUUAUUAGGGGUGGGAGGAAUGUGAACUGUGUAGGCGACAAACUCCUCGGUGCUGUCUUUGGAGAAAGAAAGAUACCUCGCAGUAGUAUUGGAAGAAGAAGCUUUGCCUCCACUGGAAGCCCUCAAUCCUCUUCCACUCAGGGGUGAAUUCGGAUUGUUUGAUAAGGAAUGACGCCGGAUUGGACUAGUCAAGGCGAUUCCAUGGCCCCCACCACCACCUGAGGUAGAGACCGUAAUUGUCAUAGGAGAUGAGGAUGGAGAAUCAACACCCAUUUUCACCAAUUUUUUGUUCUCCUUUUCUUCGGGGAAAACGGGUAUGACAAGAAGGAAACAGAAAUCGGCAGCUGUAUGAGAACAAAGAUCAGAAAUUCAUGGUAAGCAGAGAAAGCUGAUGGGUAUUUUUGGGGGGCAAAAGAAGAAGAAGGAAGGUCUGAACUCUGGGUAGGGAAGCUAUGGUAUAAAUUUGAAAUUUUGUGGGGUUUAGACAGAUAUGGAUUUCCAUGUAACGGUCGACUGAUUAUGGUCGUUGGUUAGGAGAAAUCGGACGGCGCUUCUUUGGACUUAAUAAAAUGCCCGUUUGUGACGCUGAGAUGUCCGAAAGUUUUGAAGAAAGUUAAAAAAAAAAAAAAAAAAAAAAGGUCCUCUGCCCUGCCCACAAUGCAAGGAUCAAAAUGGGCCCGACUUGAAUUUCAACGGCCGGUCCAGUUUUUUUUUUAGUAUAGCAGUCUCAUGAUCGUAAUAAUUUACAAGAGCCUCCGUGAGCUUUGGCAUAUUCGAAACAAGCCCCUCUAGGGUGGGUUUUCUUGCAUUCUGUUCAAUAACAACUUAUGCUUCCUUCAUUUCACUUUGAUAGUUUUGUUUUCCUUUUUCAUCCAUCCUAAAUUAUAGUUCAUUUUUUUCAAUUGAAGAAUAUAGUUAACUUUAAUUUCUCUAAACUACCCUUAUUUAAUAUAGGGUAAAAAAACAAAAAAGCCAUUUUUGGUUAAGUGAACAUACAGAAUAACCCCCGUGAUUUCAAAAUACACAAUCCGACACCUUGUAAUUUGAACUAAAUUGAAAAGGCAAUGGAAAUCGUCAAAACGAAUGUAUUUGAAGCACACACACUUGUGUUUUACAACUAGUGAUACCUGAUAACAGUUUUUUAUGAUUAAUUUUCAUUUAAUAUACCUAUUCUACCCCUUACAGAAAUGCCCCCUGUGGUUAAUUCAACCUAUAGAAAAAGCCCUCCAUAGUUGUGAAACAUAUAAGUUGGAUUUAAUGGAAACUUUCAAAAAAUAUAUUGAAAAGAGAGUAAAGCUUUUUGAGAUAAAUCAACCACCAGUCUUAUGCUUUGGCGUAUUUGAAACAAGCCCUUUGAGGGUGGGUUUUAUACUAUUUUCUUGCAUUUCUUGCAUUCUGUUCAGUAACUUGGACUCCUUUUAUCACACUUUGAUAGUUUUAUUUUAUUUAUUUUUUAUCCGUCUCAAAUUAUAAUCUAUUUUUUUAAUUCAAAAAUAUAGUUAACUUGUAACUUCUCUAAAAUACCCUUGGAUUCAUACCUUGACUAGUACAUUUUUCCAUAGAUUGUUGUUGUAAUUAAGAUAAAGGUAUAGUGAUUAGUCAUACUCCUAAUAUCAAUGUAAGGGUAUUUUAGAAAAAUAAUAGGCUAAAUUUACUCUUCCAACAAGGUUAACUAGUAAUUUUUCCUAAACUGUGUGAAAAAAAAAUCAAAACUAUCAAAAUGAGAUGGAAAGAGUAGAAGAAUUGGAAUAAUGAUUACGAGUUAUAGAACCUUGACAUUAUAUUGAAAUAGAAAUCCAUAAUUGUUGGUAUUUUUGCUCGAUCUGUAUAUGUAUAUAACUACUAGCCUAUUGAUACAUAUCAAUUAACAUGUGUAUAAUGAUAUGUAUAUUUCGAAAAUCAAACAAUUGAACUGAAAAAAAGUAAUGUUGGAUGACAUUUUAUGAUACUGUUGUAACGACAGGACAAGAGAAAACAUGGGAACAAUUUGAGGGCAACUAAAAUUCUGCGAGAUCUAGAUGUCUCCCUCAAGGUUUUUGACAUUCCUACUAUCCUCCCUCGAGGUUUUUAAAAUAUCAGAAAUCUCCCCUAUUAGGUUAUUAAGGCCCAUUCAUUGCAUUACUCAUGGAGAAAUGACUGAAAGAGUUUCCUAUCUCCACCAUUUUUAUUAGCUUACAGUUUUAUCUUCUAAGUCGAUUUGUGGAAUUCUCUGUUUUUAGACCUUAAAAUGGGGAACUUCAUCUUCAUACAUGUUUCGACUUCUUUCUUCUGAUGCCAUGUUCAUCACUCCUGCUGCCUUUCCUGCUAAAGUCAUGUAGAGGGUCGGUGAUAUUUUACUGAUUCCAGCUGUUCUUUUGCUCUGUCAACCUUCCGAUUUUCAACUCUCUACAAUGAUACAUAGACAAGAGCAUUAAGUUCUUCAGACACUUAUCCCAUAAUUCACCAAAUAAUUCACUAGAAUCUGCACCCACAAGGGCCUUAUUAUCAUAAUUAGCAAUUUGUUGCUUGCAAAGCCUGAGCUCCAUCUCAAGUGCACUAAUCCGAGACUCAACAGGUACAUCAUAUUGCUCAACCGUCUGCUUUUGCAUACCUCGAACUACCUCUGGUUGCCAAACUUUCAAUGCAUCUGAUGCUUGUCUGAUGGUAUGCAAGCAUUCCAAUAGCCAGUGCAUGAGCCCAUGGUUCGCCAUAUCGACCGAGUCGUAACUGGAACGGAGGGCCGAAUCACGAAUAUUACCAUAUCCGCGACGACUCGCUCUGAUUCGGCUGAUAUUGAAUGAUUCGAAUCCGUGAUACACGAUAUCGGCCAAUAUAUCCGAGUCAACUCGGAGUCGAUUCGGAUAUUUUUUUACAUUAUGUCUUUUUUGGUAUUUUCUAAUUUUAUUAAUUUUUUCAAAAUUUUUGGAAACUUUCAUGUGUUAUAAUAUGCGUAUCACCCGAUAUUCAUCCGUUAUGCCGCGACGGAUGUGGAACAAUCGAUACCGCGACCGCGACCGCGACCCACGAUGACGAACCAUGCAUGAGCCUAAAAUGUUCCAAUUUCAGAGAAAGCAUUAAACUUUGAAGAUUCUCCACCUUUGAUGUCUAGAACAGAACAGACACAUAUGUCAUUAGAUUGAAGGGCACCAGCAAUGAAAGAAUUUUCGUAAGCAGUCAUAUGGAGAUAUGUUUUGCUACCAGGACACUUACUUGGUUGUAGCCAUGGUUCAAAGACUCGGCCGAGUCGUCACUGGAACGGGGCUUUCCGAUUCGAUACUGGGACGAGAUGACUUUGAAAUAAUGAAUCGUCGAGAACUCGGCCGAGACGUCUCCGAGACGGAUAGAAGCGGCCGAGUCGCGCCCAAAUCAUCUCGAGUCAGCUCGAUAUUUUAUUAUUUUUGCUAAAUUUUUAAUUAUUUUUUUAUCAUAAUUUUUUACAAAUUUUAGAAUAUUAAAUAUUUCAAAAUUUUGUGUCUCGCAGAGACCGUGACGGAUAAGUCGAGACCGAUGUGGAACGGUCCGGAUCGCGACCGCAACCGCAACCAUGACUUUGAACCAUGGUUGUAUCACAUUCUGAACACUCACUGUAGAGGAGAUGGCUAUCUAGCCCUACUACACCUUCAACACCAAUAACCAUCAGAGGCAGCAGCAAACCAUAAAAGCUGCUUCUAAUAUCCAUGUUCCAGGUGCUUGUAAUGUGUCCUACCCUGCUCUUGUCUAAAAAUCUAUCCGAAGUCUCAGAUUGAUCGCAAGUAAUAUAAAAGUCUGUCUGAAUUCCCGGAUUGAUCACCAAGUAAUAUAUAAUUUGGCCAUUGUUCCUUGGUCGUUUCAACUCUAUUCAAUGAAUACGGAGUUAACUAGCUAAACUUAAAGAAGAUCAAAUUUUCAAUACUGAAAGAGUCAGCUUUCGCUAAUAUCUGAAAUGUCACCGUAGUUAACUAACAACCUUGAAGCAGUUUGGAAGCAGUUGCAAUUCAUUUGUUCUAUCAGGCAAACAAUAACACAAUCGUUUUAGGUUGCUUUUCUUUUCUUUUACACCUUUGCAAGUCAUCCCAAAAAACCCAAUUGCUGGAGUUGAAUAAAAGACCAACAACAAACUCAGCACAGGCUUUAAGAUUCUCAAUUUCUCAAGCCCGUAUCAAUCAUGAUUCAUCUCAACUCUAAUGUACGCCUGCCUGCCUGCAGAUGCUAGGGACUGUAGAAAGUAGAAACUGAUUAACCUUCGAGUUUAUCCCUUUAAUUAUGACAGUCCAUUUCAACUUGCAUACGUAUGUCCCUACUUUGUCUAUUAAGUACUUUUAUCAUGUUUGAACUAGUGAUAGACAUGUCCAUCCUGCUAUUCGAAAUCAAAACUAACAUUUCCUACUACCAACCAAUAAGAAGAGUCGCGUGAUCAAGUAUUUCUGGGCUCUUGAAGAGAGGAAUAUCCCAUCGCAUAUGCCUCCCUUUAAAUGAGUGUAUGGAGGGCUGCAGUGAAUUUGAACAACAUUAACACAGCUUUCAUUCAAUAUCACUCAAACUUGAAACUCUAGCAUCUUGGUACCAGUACAGGCGUGAAUGUGUUUGUUGAUGGUCAUCUGACCUUCAUGUAGUCAAGACCAUGAUUCAAAGACUCGGUCGAGCCAUCACCAGAACAGAACUCUUCGUUCCGAUACAGAGGCGAAAUGACUCCGAAAUACAUUAAUCACCGAGAAUUUGGCCGAAAAGUCUCCGACACUGUGUCAACCUGAGUUCAGCAUAUUUUGUCUAUAUUAUUUUGUUUCUUUUGCUAAUUUUUUAUUAUUUUUGUUUAGCAUAUUUUUUUAAUAUUAUUACAAACAACUUUUAGAAUAUUAAAUGGUUCAAAACUUGUGUUUCGUCGAGACGGUAAUCGAUACAUCGAGACCAAUGAUGUAAAACAGUCAGAACCGCGACCGCAACUGCAACCGUAACUUUGAACCAUGGUCAAGACUCAAGACUGAGUUUUGUCCUUGGUCCUUGCCAGAUUCUGGUUAGAUGAUCAUCAACAAACAUAUUCAGAGCAACCUGCAAAUCAGCUUGCUUUGACACUUAAUCCAAAUCAACAAUUUGUUGGAUCAGAUUGCAGCACGAUAAUAAAUUUCUCGUGAUAACCUUAUCUAUCAGCUAUUGCAUGAAUUUGUAAUUCAUCCAUACCGUUUCUUUUUGCAGGCCUGCCAUAUUUUUCUCUAAGUUGGGAUGUAACGCAAGCCCAACAAAUCAUGCUUGUUCAGAUUCAAAUGUGUACCUGCAUACUUCCAGCUCUUGGUUAACAUGCAGUAUAACAAAUCUUAAAGCUUCAAUAUCAUUUUACUAGUGGAUCACUCAAUUACUUGCUAAAUUUUAAUUUCAUGCGGUACCAUCAAGCUCUUACUAAGUUUUCAGUGCAUUUUUUGCAUCUGGAUCAAUUGCUGCUCAGUCGUCCUUUCUUUCACCUUCUCUUGCACAAUUGCUGCUGUUCCUUCUUCGAAACAAGUUUGGCCUAAAGAUCAGGUAUGGAAUUAGUUUCCUAUUCUUUCAUUCUUGGGUUUUCCUUCCAUUGAUUUUGUUCCAUGGAUUUUGCUUAUGAAUAUGUUUUUUUUUUGUGGUCCGAGGGCGAUUUGGCUGCAAAUUUUGAUUCACUGAUACAAUAAUAAACUCAUAACUCUAAGGGUCUGUUUGGUUGGACAGAAAACAUUUUCCAAAGUUUCUACUGUUGAGAUAUGAUUUCUGACGGCAUCUCCAGAAAUCACACCCUUUUCUUUUCACAGUCUGUAACUGAAAAAGACGAUUGAAGACUAUCCAUAAAAGACCAUCGGCAGCGACAUCUCAUCGGCAAACCAAUCCCUUCUUCGCCGACUGCAUCUCCAGCUCCGGCGGAGACCCACUUUCAGAGCUAAGCUACUCCUCCAAUAAGGUUAUUCUUCUUUUAAAAAUCAGCUACAAUUAUUAUCUCUCUCUCUCUCUCAUUUUUUUCCUUUAAAAGCAGCCAAUAUCAAGGCUCAUCCCCACUCUGGGGGCGAUAUCUCAUCCCUGUUCCUGCAACAGCAUCUCCAACAGGGGUGAAGACUCCUUAACUAUUUCUAGAGGUAUGAUGAUCUCUAAUUAGUUUUUUUUCCGCCUUUUUCCUUUGAAAAAUUGUCUAGAAUUUCUGGUGUAGGUUCUUUAAGUUGGAUUGGAAUGAAUUUUUGUGGGUUGCUUUUGUUUUAGUUUGCUCUUACCUGAUUAGGGUUACAUUUGAUUUGAUUGAUGCUAAUGAAUUAAUUUGGCUGCUGAAUUUUGGGCAAUUUAUGAUUCUUGGAAUCUGAUUAUUAAUCUUGGUGCCCUUGUCUCGACCCUCUAACUUGCUCCGAAUCCAGGUAGGGGACGGUAGUGCUUUUCUUACAAUCUGGUGAGAUCAUUUGUAAAAGCUUUAGUGCAUUCAUUGAGUUUGUGAAGCCACGGGCUGAUUCUUGCCAUAGGUGCUUGAUUGAAAAGGGGUUAAUUAAUAAUAUAAGUCAAAACUUUGAAACCAAAAAAAAAAAGAUCUUGCCACCAAGUCUAUCUCAGCAACCUUAAACUUUUCAGUUCCAUUAACUUAAUAUAACCGUGGAAAAACAUAACGCUUUGGAUAUAUUCCCAAAUCAGUGAAUGUUUUGACAUAGCAGCAAGCAAAUCACCAAAUGGCAAUGACGACUCUGUCGUAAAAUGAUCACUGAGGUUUGUCAUCUUGGCAAAUACAGGAAACGACAAAUAAGUACUCUACAGGUUGUUGGUGGCCAUUUUCCAUGGAAGUCUAGAAUUGGGUGCAAUGGGCACAAUAUACGGCCCUCAAUAAAUCCCCACCACAAGCCUUAUUUGAAAAAGAAUCUAAAUGCUAGCCAUAGAUGUCAUUGAGGUUCAGCUUCGUUGAUCUUUCUAUGACCAACCUUUUUGAAAUUUGAAUAGAAUGUUUUCAUGCUGCAGGACAAAGUUGAAGCAAACAGAAGUUGACUACCAGAAUUUUGAUAAUGCCUGAAUCACUUACUUUAAAAAAGAAAGUUUGUACUUGAUUACACUAAAGUUUUACUGAAUUAUAAUAUACAGUAAUUAAGGGGAAUUAUUAAAGUUUUACUUCAAUAUGCAAGUGAGGUAUGUAUAAACAUUGAUAUAUGAGAUAUUCAUUGAAUAAUAAGUUGAGAUUCAUGCAUCCUUGCCCUUUCAACUUACUUGGAUUGCACUCUUUGAAUGACUUCCUUCUAAAAGACUUCUCGUCCUUUUCUGAAAGUAUUUGGCACUAAAAAAGACCUCAAUGAUUGUGCAUUGCACUGCCAUUGAACUUCAACAAAUAUAUUGCCAUCAUGAAUUCAUACACUUACUAGUUCUUUAUUUUUACAUAAAUAAUAUAGUCAAAAGCUACCUUCUUGGAAUCUGAUUAUUAAUUGCAGUGGCUUUUAUCCAUUGGGAACUUGCACUUGCAAUUCUAACUAUCUUUAAAGAUUUGGGGUGGAGAGUUGCUUGACUUAGGCGUUCAGUUUGUUCAUUUGGAGCAGAGUUUGUCCUUUCGGAUAUGGACUAUCCAGGAAGUUGUAAUUGAAUAUGUUUGUUGCUGUUGUUGAUGGAUUAUCAUUUUUUCCUCCUAAGCUUCUUGUGGAUUUCAAUUGUUGGCAUUUGCUGGUGUUCUAGUAUUGUAUACUAGUUUGUUUAGAGCAAUGUCCUUUAAUGAUUUUGCGAAGCUGCACAAUGGACAUGGGAACUUGGACUGUUUCAUUACGCUUACAUUCUUGUUUUUCGUUGUAAUCAGUGAUUAUUGCUUGUAGUAUGAUCAGAUGAACAAGAUGUUGAUUGUGACUAUUUAAAGACACUAAGCAAUUUUCUUUUGGUGGAAACUGACCCUUGGAGAGUGCUCUGUUUCUUUUGUCUAGAGCCAUAGUUGUCAAAAGAAGACAUAGUUGUUAGAAUCAAUGUUGCAGACCUGACUGCAUAAUGUUGGCAAGUUGUGUAUUGAUGUAAAUUCCUAGGAUAAAGGUUUCAGUUGUGAUUAUUUUCUAAUUCAAAGGGUGUAGGUAUUGGUAAUGGUUGUACUGAGGUAUUCUGCUUGGCUUGUUGAUUAAGUUGAUCAUCUGCUUACAACAAAGAACAAUUAUUCUUUCUUCAAUUUUGUGUCUUAAAUGACUGCAUGUUUUGUGGCAUUCUGCUUGGCUUGUUGCUUAAGUUGGUCCUUAAAGAAGAUGAUAAUUAAUUUUAGUUACCUGAUACCAAAUAUCAAGUUGGUUGAUGACCUGGAUGCACAUUUUGUGGCAAAAAUUAUUUAUGGAUUCUAGUUUGUACAGCAUAAAAAAAGGUUGAUUCGGAGAUAAAAUUGCACAGCUUGCUAAGUUUUGGAUUUAGGAGAAGACGGUGCAGCACUUGAAGAACUUAAGUUUUGUAUACUUGGACCAUGAAAGUCGCCUUCUAAAUUUCUUGGAUUAGUCUUUACAUAUCCAGAGAUAAAGCUUUUGAGAAUGGGAAAAUAUUUGCAACAUUGCCAACAAACACUAAAAAAGGAAGUCAGAAAAUAUUUUCACUGACAAACCAAACACCAAAAAAUUAUGAAAAAAGGAAUUUGGAAACUAUUUUCACUAAAUAACCGAACACCGGAAAAUUAUGGAGAAGGAAGUGAUUUUCCAGGAAAAUGACUUCGAUGGAAAAUAUUUAUUUUCCGUCCAACCAAACGGACUCUAAGCUAUCUGAUUUUUCCAUGCUUUACAUAACUCAAACUAAGAGAGAUCAGUUGGCGAUUUUGCUUGUAGACUGUAGCACCAGUUAAAAUUACCUUGAACAACUACAGGUUGACAUCUUAUUUGUUUUCUUUGGUUUUUCUUCUUAAAAUACACUAUGGAAAGAGGAAACAAUUGGGUUAUAGAAAUGGGAAAAAAUCAAAUGUUAGUAAAUAUGUUUCCUCAAGUUGAUAUUUAAUGAGUUGCUAUUACUCUGGAUGUGGAAUUGAUGAACAAAGCAGCCAGGAGGCAUAGAUGCAUAAAAUUGUUGAUGGAUACAAGUCCUUUCAAGUUGCAAUCUCUUCCCCUUUUGUCUUAGCUCUUCUAUAUGGCAAAUUGUUGAUCAAAUCUACUGAAACAAGCAUUCUUUUGCCUUGAACGAUCUGGUUCUAUCAGGAUCAAUCUAUUUAUCCUCUUUGUUUUUUUCCCCUCUAACAAAGCCAGUGUGGUGCCUUGUUCUAUUUGGAUUCUACUUGUGGUUAGAUUGUGCUUAGUUGAAUUCACUUCUAAUUCUUUUUUCAUUUUGGGAUGAUUUAGGUUUUGCUGAAGGUGAAACUAAGUGCAAAAUGCUCUAGAAUGUUCCACAUCAGAUUGUGCAAUCUCCAGCUCGGCUAGGGUUACCAAAUCCAAAUUCACCUUCUCUUCAAAACACUACUCCGGCUAAGUUUGCCUCCCAAGCCCAACAAUCUCAUCCGCCAAAUCAACAGUCAAAUGCAUCAAGCAUUAUUUCAACUUCUUCAACACUGCUUCGUCUCCUUCCCCCUCUGCCAAGAGCUCAGUCUAUUCUUCUGCAAAUGUCCUCACUUGCCUCAAGACUUUUUGAUGUCUCACCUAAUAGGUCGCAUUGGAUUAGCGCAUUUCGAGGUUCCCUACCCUCCUUCUUGUCUUCCCAAUCCCAACCUUUGACAUCAACUGCACCAGAUUCCUACCCUUCUUCCUCCAAAGAAAUUCUCGCUCUUUUCACAAACCUUCAAACUCAGCUAUUUGAAGCUGUUGCAGAGCUCCAAGAAAUUCUUGAUCUUCAAGAUGGAAAACAGAAACUCUCGCACGAAAUCAGGUCAAAAGAUGCUGCAAUUCUUGCACUUGCAAGCAAGCUCAAAGAAGCUGAGCAGGUUCUUGACAACCUUGUGGAUGAUUACUCGGAUUAUCGCCGUUCAAAACGGUCCAAGUCAGAAGAUGUUGCAGAAGAUUCUUCAACCACCACUGUGGCAUCUCAGCUGAAGCUUUCUGAUAUAUUGUCAUAUGCCCAUAGGAUAAGCUACACUACUUUUGCACCACCAGAAUUUGGUGCUGGACAGGCUCCUCUCCGUGGGGCACUCCCCCUGCUCCACAGGAGGAGCAAAUGCGGGGCAUCCCAACUGUACGCUUUUGCUGAUCAUGAUGUUGGUUUACCAAAAACAGAUGAGGAUAAGAAGAAAACUAUAGAGCCAUUGAUCGAAACUCCUGUUGGGCAACCAGCAGAGCCAAAUCCAUUGGCCAAUCUUGCUGGAAUGCAGGGUCUACUUCCACCUAAUAUUGCUGUGCCACCAGGAUGGAAACCUGGAAUGCCCGUGGAGUUGCCCAAUGAUCUACCUAUUCUUCCUCCACCUGGUUGGAAGCCCGGUGAUCCAAUGGCACUGCCCCCAUUGGAUUCUCUUCCUAUACAUCCUGGAAUUGAAGAGCAACAACCUCAGCAUAUCUCCCCUCCAAUGCUUACAAAGACACCCGAGCCUAUACAAGUUCGGCAUGUGCAGCUUGACAUUGACGAUGAUAGUAGUGAUUAUAGCAGUGAUGUUGGUAGCUCUGACAGUGAAGAUUAGUCCUAGACUCCAGUGCUUUUAUGUCGAUGUAAAUUCUGAAAUGCUACGUAGAGCAUCUUUCAAAGAGGAUUGAAGUUGCUAUCUCUAGCCUGUACUUUCUGCUGAUGAAAUUGAAGUUUUACUAGAAUUCUGCAAUUCCUCAAAGAUUGUCUAACUGUGUUUGCAUACCUAGAAUAUUCUUUCAAUUUGCUGAACAUUUCUCGCAAUCCGUUCUAGUACUGGUUUUGAUUCUAAGGUGUUAUUGGAAGCCUAGUUGAGUGAGCAUGAUCUUUUAAAUUUGUGACAAUAUGGACCAGUACACUGAUAUUACACACUUAUGUAAUGUUUUUAUGUAGAUUCUGAGGCAAUAGAUUUUAAUGUUUUACCUUUGACAUACUUUUGUGAUAGUUGAUCAUCUUCUGGACAGUCGUACGUAUAUUGUGUCUUCCGCAAGAUGAGGAACGAAUGAAAGCAGAAAAGCUGUACCUUUUCCUCAGUCAAUACAUCUAAGUACUUCCUAUUUGGGCUGAUAGGUGGGAAUUUACUUAGGUUACUCCAGACAUCCUAACAUAGGAAUAUUGUACUCAGGUUCGUAACACGCUGUAUAAGGGUACCGAUUUGUGUAGCUGUAAACAUAAAAGCAUUUUUCAUCGCAGUCGCUCUAGAAUCUUAAUGCUUGAUGAUUGACAAACGUUUGUUAAAUGAGAUGUAAAGUUAUCAAUGAAUAUGUUGUAAAGAAUUAAAUCAACUGAUGUAAGAAAUGUUGAAGUAGCAGGUGUUGGCAAAAGAGAAAAAAAAAUUGCUUGUUUUAAAGGGAAACUGAAGCAUAAUUCCCUGCAAAGAUCACAGGACAAAUAGGAAAACAAGUUGAGGAGGAAAAAAAUUCACAAAAUUUUCAGAUACUUGUCAGCCCUUGUGAGGUCGCGGACAUUAUAGCAGAAUCAUCUAAGAAAUGAAAAUCCAAGUUACAGAUUGAUGCAGUACAGAAAUUACAGUUUUGGCAAUGGAAAAAAAUUCAAGGGUUGGCUGCAAUAGAAGUUUUCUUCUCUGCCAUGACAAAUUCAUUAGAUUUUAGUAUAGGCAUUGCUCUUCUGGUGUUGGUUGUUGCUUGUGCCCUGAAUGCUCUGAUGUUUCUGACAGCAAGGUUUAUGAAUGAAUGAAUCCCUAUUAUAUGUUGUCAUAGUCAAAUCUUUACGUGACGUGAGAGAAGUACAAAUCCUCUGAUACAUGCAAUCCAAUCCUCACUACUAAUCUGACAUCUAAGCUAAUUUGACUGAAAUAAGAAUGUAUUAUUAAUGAUGAUGAAGAAGAUGAUAUGUACAAUUUUACAUGGCACCGAGCAGCAGCCUAAAGAAAUCUAACUUAAUAAUCGCGAAUAUUACCACAUCCGCAACGACUCGCUCUAUUGAACGAUUCGAAUCCGUGAUGCAUGAUAUCGGCCGAUACAUCCGAGUUAACUUGGAGUCGAUUUGGAUAUUUUUUUAAAUUGUGUCCUUUUUGGUAUUUUCUAAUUUUAUUAAUUUUUUCAAAAUUUUUGGAAACUUUCAUGUGUUAUAAUGUGCGUAUCACCCGAUAUUCAUCCGUUAUGCCGCGAUGGAUGUGGAACAAUCGAUACCGCGAUGCUACCGCGACCCGCGAUGGCGAGCCAUGCAUGAGCCUAAAAUGUUCCAAUUUCAGAGAAAGCAUUAAACUUUGAAGAUUCUCCACCUUUGAUGUCUGGUACAGAACAGACACAUAUGUCUUUAGAUUGAAGGGCACCAGCAAUGAAAGAAUUGUCGUAGGCAAUCAUAUGGAGAUAUGUUUUGCUAAGAGGACACUUACUUGGUUGUAUCCAUGGUUCAAAGACUCGGCCGAGUCGUCACUGGAACGGGGCUUCCCGAUCCGAUAUUGGGACGAGAUGACUCUGAUAUAAUGAAUCGUCGAGAAAUCGGCCGAGACGGAUGGAAACGGCCGAGUCGCGCCCGAAUCAUCCCGAGUCAGCUCGAUAUUUUAUUAUUUUUGCUAAAUUUUUAAUUAUUUUUUUAUCAUAAUUUUUUACAAUUUUUAGAAUAUUAAAUAUUUCAAAAAUUUGUGUCUCGCCGAGACCGUGACGGAUAAGUCGAGACAGAUGUGGAACGGUACGAACCGCGACCGCAACCGCAACCAUGACUUUGAACCAUGGUUGUAUCACAUUCUGAACACUCACUGCAGAGGAGAUGACUCUCUAGCCCUACUACACUUUCAGCACCAAUAACCAUCAGAGGCAGCAACAAACCAUAAAAGCUGCUUCUAAUAUCUAUGUUCCAGGUGCUUGUAAUGUGUCCUACCCUGCUCUUGUCUAAAAUUCUAUCCGAAGUCUCAGAUUGAUCGCAAGUAAUAUAAAAGUCUGUCUGAAUUCCCGGAUUGAUCACCAAGUAAUAUAUAAUUUGGCCAUUGUUCCUUGGUCGUUUCAACUCUAUUCAAUGAAUACGGAGUUAACUAGCUAAACUUAAAGAAGAUCAAAUUUUCAAUACUGAAAGAGUCAGCUUUCGCUAAUAUCUGAAAUGUCACCGUAGUUAACUAACAACCUUGAAGCAGUUUGGAAGCAGUUGCAAUUCAUUUGUUCUAUCAGGCAAACAAUAACACAAUCGUUUUAGGUUGCUUUUCUUUUCUUUUACACCUUUGCAAGUCAUCCCAAAAAACCCAAUUGCUGGAGUUGAAUAAAAGACCAACAACAAACUCAGCACAGGCUUUAAGAUUCUCAAUUUCUCAAGCCCGUAUCAAUCAUGAUUCAUCUCAACUCUAAUGUACGCCUGCCUGCCUGUAGAUGCUAGGGACUGUAGAAAGUAGAAACUGAUUAACCUUCGAGUUUAUCCCUUUAAUUAUGACAGUCCAUUUCAACUUGCAUACGUAUGUCCCUACUUUGUCUAUUAAGUACUUUUAUCAUGUUUGAACUGGUGAUAGACAUGUCCAUCCUGCUAUUUGAAAUCAAAACUAACAUUUCCUGCUACCAACCAAUAAGAAGAGUCGCGUGAUCAAGUAUUUUUGGGCUCUUGAAGAGAGGAAUAUCCCAUCGCAUAUGCCUCCUUUUAAAUGAGUGUAUGGAAGGUUCCAGUGAAUUUGAACAACAUUAACACAGCUUUCAUUCAAUAUCACUCAAACUUGAAACUCUAGCAUCUUGGUACCAGUACAGGCGUGAAUGUGUUUGUUGAUGGUUAUCUGACCUUCAUGUAGUCAAGACCAUGGUUCAAAGACUCGGCCGAGCCAUCACCAGAACGGAACUCUUCGUUCCGAUACAGAGGCGAAAUGACUCCGAAAUACAUUAAUCACCGAGAAUUUGGCCAAGAAGUCUCCGACACCGUGUCAUCCUGAGUUCAGCAUAUUUUGUCUAUAUUAUUUUGUUGCUUUUGCUAAUUUUUUAUUAUUUUUGUUUAGCAUAUUUUUUUAAUAUUAUUACAAACAACUUUUAGAAUAUUAAAUGGUUCAAAAUUUGUGUUUCGUCGACACGGUGAUAUAUAUAUCGAGACCGAUGAUGUGAAACGGUCAGAAUCGCGACCGCAACCACAACUUUGAACCAUGGUCAAGACUCAAGAUUGAGUUUUCUCCUUGGUCCUUGCCAGAUUCUGGUUAGAUGAUCAUCAACAAACAUAUUCAGAGAAACCUGCAAAUCAGCUUGCUUUGACACUUAAUCCAAAUCAACAAUUUGUUGGAUCAGAUUGCAGCAUGAUAAUAAAUUUCUCGUGAUAACCUUAUCUAUCAGCUAUUGCAUGAAUUUGUAAUUCAUCCAUACCGUUUCUUUUUGCAGGCCUGCCAUAUUUUUCUCUAAGCUGGGAUGUAAUGCAAGCCCAACAAAUCAUGCUUGUUCAGAUUCAGCUGUGUACUUGCAUACUUCCUGCUCUUGGUUAACAUGCAGUAUAACAAAUCUUAAGGCUUCAAUAUCAUUUUACUAGUGGAUCACUCUCAAUUACUUGCUAAAUUUUAAUUUCAUGUUGUACCAUCAAGCUCUUACUAAGUUUUCAGUGCACUUUUUGCAUCUGGAUCAAUUGCUGCUCAGUCGUCCCUUCUUUUACCUUCUCCUGCACAAUUGCUGCUGUUCCUUCUUCGAAACAAGUUUGGCCUAAAGAUCAGGUAUGGAAUUAGUUUCCUAUUCUUUCAUUCUUGGGUUUUCCUUACAUUGAUUUUGUUCCAUGGAUUUUGCUUAUGAAUAUGUUUUUUUUUGUGGUCCUAGUGCGAUUUGGCUGCAAAUUUUGAUUCACUGAUACAAUAAUAAACUCAUAACUCUAAGGGUCUGUUCGAUUGGACAGAAAACAUUUUCCAAAGUUUCUACUGUUGAGAUAUGAUUUCUGACGGCAUCUCCAGAAAUCACACCCUUUUCUUUUCACAGUCUGUAACUGAAAAAGAUGAUUGAAGACUAUCCAUAAAAGACCAUCGGCAGCGACAUCUCAUCGGCAAACCAAUCCCUUCUUCGCCGACAGCAUCUCCAGCUCCGGCGGAGACCCACUUUCAGAGGUAAGCUACUCCUCCAAUAAGGUUAUUCUCCUUUUAAAAAUCAGCUACAAUUAUCAUCUCUCUCUCUCUCAUUUUUUUUCUUUAAAAGCAGCCAAUAUCAAGGCUCAUCCCCACUCUGGGGGCGAUAUCUCAUCCCUGUUCCUGCAACAGCAUUUCCAACAGGGGUGAAGACUCCUUAACUAUUUCCAGAGGUAUGAUGAUCUCUUAUUAGUUUUUUUCCGCCAUUUUCCUUUGAAAAAUUGUCUAGAAUUACUGGUGUAGGUUCUUGAAGUUGGAUUGGAAUGAAUUUUUGUGGGUUGCUUUUGUUUUAGUUUGCUCUUACCUGAUUAGGGUUACAUUUGAUUUGAUUGAUGCUAAUGAAUUAAUUUGGCUGCUGAAUUUUGGGCAUUUUAUGAUUCUUGGAAUCUGAUUAUUAAUCUUGGUGCUCUUGUCUCGACUCUCUAACUUGCUCCGAAUCCAGGUAGGGUAGGGUAGUGUUUUUCUUACAAUCUGGUGAGACCAUUUGUAAAAGUUUUAGUGCAUUCAUUGAGUUUGUGAAGCCACGGGCGGAUUCUUGCCAUAGGUGCUUGAUUGAAAAAGGAGUUAUUUAAUAAUAUAAGUCAAAACUUUGAAACCAAAAAAAAAAAAAAAGAUCCUUCCCCCAAGUCUAUCGGAGCAGCCUUAAACUUUUCAGUUCCAUUAACUUAAUAUAACCGUGGAAACACAGAAUGCUUUGGAUAUAUUCCCAAAUCAGUGAAUGUUUUGACAUAGCAACAAGCGAAUCACCCAAUGGCAAUGACGACUCUGUCGUAAAAUGAUCACUGAGGUUUGUCAUCUUGGCAAAUACAAGAAACCACAAAUAAGUAUUCUACUAAAGAAGAUGCGGCCAGAAGUAAAACCGGACUUACACAGGACAUAGUCCAUAGACAUCAUCGGGGAACUGGGGACAAAAUCACUAAAACAGAAAAAGGUACUUGCUGGGUUUAUCUUGUUGGGUUGUUAAGCAAUGCUAGCUUCUAUAAGGGCUGCACAAAUCUUUUAUUUAUAGCAGUACUUAUCAGCGUUUAAUUUCGGAUAGACUCAUGAAUUCCUUUGGUCCUUUUCUCGAGCAACGAAUAUAUUGAUGGAGUUCUUGUUUGUUGGCAAAUUUCAAAGUCUUCAUUCCCUGUCAAGGUUAGACUUCGUAGUUCUCUAAAACGUCAAGAUUAUUUGGAAAUGUUGCAGCAUCUUUCCCUGUUUCUGAUGAUAUCUCUAUCUGCCCUAAAUCAUUUAAUCUUAUCAUUUAUCACAUGUAUUCUGCUUGCUUCAUCACUUGACUUUAUUUCCAAGUGCCAAGUUCCAACUUGUUGAAUAUCAAGAAAAAAACCUUAUUCUGGUCCCAUUUUGGCAUUUUCAAGUUAGAAGCUUUUGUUUUUCUAAGGAGUAAUACUUGUACACAUUUAGCUGAGGUUAUGUCCCUAAUUUUAGAAGCAUGUAAAUCUAAAGUCACAUUGUUUAGACAUUUAAAAUAAUAAGCCUAGAACUUUUAGACCAGGACAAACAAUGAGGGAGAGCACCUGAUUGCCCAUUUUCUUUCAAAUUAAUCUUACAAUUUGGUUCCUCCCAUGUUUAAGAUAUCUGUCAAUUGAAACCCAUGCUUGAGUUAGUGUUUCCCCAGAUUAACAUACUCUCUAGUAAAACGACAACAUCAAAUCUUAGCAUUGUAAAGUUUUUUAUUGGAUGAGCACAAUAUAGCCAGGUGUACCAACAGUCGAAUAAGCCUGUAAUGUACCAACAUUGAUUACUCAAGGAACUUAAAAGAUUCAUGCAUCCUUGCCUUGCCCAGUUUCUACAAGAUGUUAUAGCAACUCUUUAAAGAUGGAGCUAUGUAGCAUUUGUUGAUCUUUUAACAUAUUUAAUGAAGUGCAAAGGAUUGUAAUUUCCUCAAGUUGGUCGUUUACUAGGAUUUCCAAAUAGUAAUGGUUGACAAGGACAGACUAGUAGCAAAGAAGUAAAUUUCAUAACCUUUUUUUUAAUCUCAAUUUCAGAUAUAAAAAUUACUCAUUGGAUGGAUUUUGUGUAAAACCAGACUGGUCAUUGCAUUCUCAAACUUCAGUUGUAUAGGAGUAACAGACUUGUGUACUUCCAUCAAUAUGGCUUUUUCAGCACUUAAAUUCGUAAAUUGCCAAAAAGCUCAAAUCUUCUGCUAUCUAUUUCUUUGUGUUGCAUUAGCCUAAAACUUAUGGAUGAUGGAUUAGGAAAGGAAAUAGACAUUUAAUUUUCAUAUCAAAGUUACAAGUUGUUGGUGGCCAUUUUCCAUGGAAGUCUAGAGUUGGGUGCAAUGGGCACAAUAUACGGCCCUCAAUAAAUCCCCACCACAAGCCUUAUUUGAAAAAGAAUCUAAAUGCUAGCCAUAGAUGUCAUUAAGGUUCAGCUUCGUUGAUCUUUCUAUGACCAACCUUUUUGAAGUUUGAAUAGAAUGUUUUCAUGCUGUAGGACAAAGUUGAAGCAAACAGAAGUUGACUACCAGAAUUUUGAUAAUGCCUGAAUCACUUGCUUUAAAAAAGAAAGUUUGUACUUGAUUACACUAAAGUUUUACUGAAUUAUAAUAUACAGUAAUUAAGGGGAAUUAUUAAAGUUUUACUUCAAUAUGCAAGUGAGGUAUGUAUAAACAUCAAUGGUUUCAAACUCGGCCGGACUGGCCGGUUCGACCGCGACCCGACCAUGUGUCCGGUCCGGUUCAUAGCCUAUGGUGACUUGGUCCAAGAACCGGUCAAACUCGUAAAAACCGUUUAAAUCGGAAUGAACCGUGAACCGCGGUUUUUUAAUUUUUGGCAAAAUUGACUGAAUUUUGACGAGUAAAUUCCCAAAAAGAGGGAUUUUUUAAUCUAACUUCCCAAAGGGUGGCGAUUUUUGAGUCUCUUCUCAAAGGGUGAAAAAUGCAUUCAAGGAAUGCGUUUUUUCAAAUAAAAACGUAAUUUUCAAAUACGUUAUUUUAAUUUUCAUAAAUUUAUUUAAAUAGAAAAAAUUGGUUAAAAACGCAUUAGUGGAAUGCAUUGUUUGAUAGAAAACGCAUUUCGCUAAUGCGCUAUUGUUUAAGAAACCCAUUAGAUGAAUGCGGUUUUCGUUUAUCAAUAUGUACCACUUUUUUCCAUUUCUUUGAUCUUGACUUGGGUUAUGUAAGGUUUUUUUUUUAAAAAAAAUAUUAUCUUAUUAUUUUAUGGAAGUUAUUAUUAAUUUAGCUCACUAACACAAGUCAAGAUAAAAAAAAAAUUUAUUUCAUAGUUGUUAUUAAUUUAUCUGGUAUAGAUUUCAUUUCAAGUUUGCAAAGGCUUAAAGGUUUUUGAACUUUGGAUUUUACAUAUGCAUGCACAUAUUUUGUAUCUUAAAUGUUGGUAAUUUGUCUUAAAAAUCGUAACAAUUUUUCUAAAGAAAAUUUUACGAUUCAUAAAAAGUUAAUCCUAAAUAUUUAGUGUAAAAAUAUGAUGGCCCAAAAUGAGUUAGAAUAAUCACAUAUCUUGAAAACUUUAAUCAAAGGGAAAAUUGCGAAACUCCUCUCAUUUUUCCUCAUUUUCAACUAUUUAUAUCACAUGUUAAGCAAAAACUUGCAUAUUCAAAUAUGUCAUAAGGGGAUAUAAUGUCACAUCUAAUUUUAUAUACUAUGUUUACUUGGUUUUCAAUCCAAAUUUUCUUAUACAAUAAGAAUUCUUAUAACAAGACAAGUACCGGGGAUUAGAAUAGAUUCCUAGAUAUGCUAAAAACUCAUUUAGCAAUCAGUUUUUUUUUAUUAAUAAACGCAUUUCCAAAAUGGGUUUUAGGCCAAAAAAUGCAUUCAUUAAAUGAGACUUUUUAAAACAGCGCAUCCCACUAAUGCAUUUUUUAACUAAUUUUUUCUAUUUAAAUAAAUUUAUGAAAAUUAAAAUAACGUAUUUAAAAAUUACGUUUUUAUUUGAAAAUCAUUCGGGGAGAGACUAAAAAAUUACCGCCCUUUAGGAAGUUAGAUUAAAAAAUCCCUCUUUUUGGGAAUUUACUCGAAUUUUGACCGAUUUAUCUAAACCUAAUCUCCGGUUCACUCUUCAAUCUUCAUUCAGUCUUCUUCUUCGCUGCGCCGCUUCGCCGCUUCGGUCUUCCCACUUCCCCUGCAAUUGCCAAAAUUGCCUGCCGUCCCUAAUCCCUUAUCCAAACUCCAAUCUUUGAUCCAGUGCUAUUUCCACACUUGCUCAUCGAUCAAUACCCAAUUUCUUCCCGUUAGAUUUUCCUCCAGGAAUUUGGGCGAUAACCAGUUCACUGACCUACCUCACUGUCAAAGAAUAGCGGCUUAAAUUUAGUGUAAGCUUGCUCAAACUUUAAUCUCAUCCUCGUUUUGGUUCCAUUAUAUAGAGUUUUCUGUUAGAUGGAUAAACUGCUUGGUUAUAAAAGUUUAGAAACUUUUAGAGGUAAGUUUAGAGGUAAGCAACUUACCUCUGGAUUGCUGCUUGUCACUGGUAAGUUUAGAAAUCUUGCAUUUCUUUACGUGAUUUUGUUUUUGGUUUUUAGUCUUAAUUUAAAAAAAUUUGUGGGGUUCUGAGUCCUUGGUGGUGUUUAAUGAAUUGCCGUAAAAAAGAUUUGAAAGUAAUUUUAAUUGUUUCCUUUGUGUUAAAAUUUCAAGUUUCUUGCUGAUGAUAUAAUGCAGCGAUUGAGUUGUAAACUUGUGGGAUUCUGUGGAAAUAAUUGCAUCUCUAAUUUGAUGCCUUUUCUAAGGUCAAAUGGUUUUUGAUAAACAAUUUGAUGGUUGUCUGAUGAGUAUUAGGUUACAUUAUAUGGAAUUCGUAUGGUUAAAUUUGGGCAGUUGUAGCAUAUCUUCUUAGGUCCAACAGCUACUGAUUGGCUUAGAAUGGAGGUGCUACUGACAAAAUGUUGGAAGGAUGAAGAUAAAACAAUGGUUUUAACUUAAUUAAUGUAGAUGAGAUUUUACUUAACCUAAUGUAGAUGAGUCUGUUUUGUCUUCUGUUGGACGUGAGCUGAGUAUAUGGUUUCAAAGGGCUUCCAUAUUGACGUGCUAAUCCAAAGUCACAGAUCUUCAACUCACCACAAUUAUUUAAAAGUAUAUUUGAUGUCUUUAAAUCUCUGUGCAAAACCCAGUUAUCAUGAAGAUACUUAACACCCUCAAGAAGCUGAAGCAUGAGGCACUUAACUUCACUCUCCCUAAACGGUUGUUUCAUUGUCUCCAUUAACCACUUCAGAUCUUUGGUGACAGUUUCAGUUCCCAAAUACAAAUAGUCUUAAGCAUCAUUGAUUCUACUAAAAUUAUUGCAUUGCAUCAAAAUUUAUAUCUUAUAUUGCAUUGCAUCAUUGGUGACAGUUUCAGUUUUUUUGUUAAUUCUAAUAUUUAGACAAUUGGACAUAUAAGUUGGAUAACUAUGAUAUUGCUCUUAUUUUAAUUGUGGUUUAUCAUUUAUAUCUUAUUUUGUGCAUAGGUGUGUGUGUGUGUCUAUAUAUAUAUAUAUAUAUAUAUAUAUAUAUAUACAUAUAUAUAUUUAUUUAUUUAUUUAUUGAACCGGGGUUGAGCCGGUCCGACCGGUUGAACCUCGACCCUUUCAUUUCACCGGUUCGAUUAACAGUCCGGGUUUUAAAACAUUGAUAAACAUUGAUAUAUGAGAUAUUCAUUGAAUAAUAAGUUGAGAUUCAUGCAUCCUUGCCCUUUCAACUUACUUGGAUUGCACUCUUUGAAUGACUUCCUUCUAAAAGACUUCUCGUCCUUUUCUAAAAGUAUUUGGCCCUAAAAAAGACCUCAAUGAUAGUGCAUUGCACUACCAUUGAACUUCAACAAAUAUAUUGCCAUCACGAAUUCAUACACUUACUAGUUCUUUAUUUUUACAGAAAUAAUAUAGUCAAAAGCUACCUUCUUGGAAUCUGAUUAUUAAUUUCAGUGGCUUUUAUCCAUUGGGAACUUGCACUUGCAAUUCUGACUAUCUUUAAAGAUUUGGGGGUGGAGAGUUGCUUGACUGCUUUUAUCCAUUGGGAACUUGCACUUGCAAUUCUGACUAUCUUUAAAGAUUUGUGGUGGAGAGUUGCUUGACUUAGGCUUUCAGUUUGUUCAUUUGGAGCAGAGUUUGUUCUUUCGGAUAUGGACUAUCCAGGAAGUUGUAAUUGAAUAUGUUUGUUGCUGUUGUUGAUGGAUUAUCAUUUUUUCCUCCUAAGCUUCUUGUCGAUUUCAAUUGUUGGCAUUUGCUGGUGUUCUAGUGUUGUAUACUAGUUUGUUUAGAGCAAUGUCCUUUAAUGAUUUUGUGAAGCUGCACAAUGGACAUGGGAACUUGGACUGUUUCAUUAUGCUUACAUUCUUGUUUUUUGUUGUAAUCAGUGGUUAUUGCUUGUAGUAUGAUCAGAUGAACAAGAUGUUGAUUGUGACUAUUUAAAGACACUAAGCAAUUUUCUUUUGGUGGAAACUGACCCUUGGAGAGUGCUCUGUUUCUUCUGUCUAGAGCCAUAGUUGUCAAAAGAAGACAUAGUUGUUAGAAUCAAUGUUGCAGACCUGACUGCAUAAUGUUGGCAAGUUGUGUAUUGAUGUAAAUUCCUAGGAUAAAGGUUUCAGUUGUGAUUAUUUUCUGAUUCAAAGGGUGUAGGUAUUGGUAAUGGUUGUACUGAGGUAUUCUGCUUGGCUUGUUGCUUAAGUUGAUCAUCUGCUUACAUCAAAGAUGAAUUAUUCUUUCUUCAAUUUUGUGUCUUAAAUGACUGCAUGUUUUGUGGUAUUCUGCUUGGCUUGUUGCUUAAGUUGGUCCUUAAAGAAGAUGAUAAUUAAUUUUAGUUACCUGAUACCAAAUAUCAAGUUGGUUGAUGACCUGGAUGCACAUUUUGUGGCAAAAAUUAUUUAUGGAUUCUAGUUUAUACAGCAUAAAUAAAGGUUGAUUUGGAGAGAAUAUUGCACAGCUUGCUAAGUUUUGGGUUUUGGAGAAGACGGUGCAGCACUUGAAGAACUUAAGUUUUGUAUAAAAUUGUUGAUGGAUACAAGUCCUUUCAAGUUGCAUUCUCUUCCCCUUUUGUCUUAGCUCUUCUAUAUGGCAAAUUGUUGAUCAAAUCAACUGAAACAAGCAUUCUUUUGCCUUGAACGAUCUGGUUCUAUCAGGAUCAAUCUAUUUAUCCUCUUUGUUUUUUUCCCCUCUAACAAAGCGCCAGUGUGGUGCCUUGUUCUAUUUGGAUUCUACUUGUGGUUAGAUUGUGCUUAAUUGAAUUCACUUGUAAAUCUUUUUUCUUUUUGGGAUGAUUUAGGUUUUGCUGAAGGUGAAACUAAGUGCAAAAUGCUCCAGAAUGUUCCACAUCAGAUUGUGCAAUCUCCAGCUAGGCUAGGGUUACCAAAUCCAAAUUCACCUUCUCUUCAAAACACUACUCCGGCUAAGUUUGCCUCCCAAGCCCAGCAAUCUCAUCCACCCAAUCAACAGCCAUAUGCAUCAAGCAUUAUUCCAACUUCUUCAACACUUCUUCCUCUCCUUCCCCCUCUGCCAAGAGCUCAGUCUAUUCUUCUGCAAAUGUCCUCACUUGCCUCAAGACUUUUUGAUGUCUCACCUAAUAGGUCGCAUUGGAUUAGCGCAUUUCGAGGUUCCCUACCCUCCUUCUUGUCUUCCCAAUCCCAACCUUUGACAUCAACUGCACCAGAUUCCUACCCUUCUUCCUCCAAAGAAAUUCUCGCUCUUUUCACAAACCUUCAAACUCAGCUAUUUGAAGCUGUUGCAGAGCUCCAAGAAAUUCUUGAUCUUCAAGAUGGAAAACAGAAACUCUCGCACGAAAUCAGGUCAAAAGAUGCUGCAAUUCUUGCACUUGCAAGCAAGCUCAAAGAAGCUGAGCAGGUUCUUGACAACCUUGUGGAUGAUUACUCGGAUUAUCGCCGUUCAAAACGGUCCAAGUCAGAAGAUGUUGCAGAAGAUUCUUCAACCACCACUGUGGCAUCUCAGCUGAAGCUUUCUGAUAUAUUGUCAUAUGCCCAUAGGAUAAGCUACACUACUUUUGCACCACCAGAAUUUGGUGCUGGACAGGCUCCUCUCCGUGGGGCACUCCCACCUGCUCCACAGGAGGAGCAAAUGCGGGCAUCCCAACUGUACGCUUUUGCUGAUCAUGAUGUUGGUUUACCAAAAACAGAUGAGGAUAAGAAGAAAACUAUAGAGCCAUUGAUCGAAACUCCUGUUGGGCAACCAGCAGAGCCAAAUCCACUGGCCAAUCUUGCUGGAAUGCAGGGUCUACUUCCACCUAAUAUUGCUAUGCCAUCAGGAUGGAAACCUGGAAUGCCCGUGGAGUUGCCCAGUGAUCUACCUAUUCUUCCUCCACCUGGUUGGAAACCUGGUGAUCCAGUGGCACUGCCCCCAUUGGAUUCUCUUCCUAUACCUCCUAGAAUUGAAGAGCAACAACCUCAGCAUAUCCCCCCUCCAAUGCUUACAAAGGCACCCGAGCCUAUACAAGUUCGGCAUGUGCAGCUUGACAUUGACGAUGACAGUAGUGAUUAUAGCAGUGAUGUUGGUAGCUCUGACAGUGAAGAUUAGUCCUAGACUCCAGUGCUUUUAUGUCGAUGUAAAUUCUGAAAUGCUACGUAGAACAUCUUUCAAAGAGGAUUGAAGUUGCUAUCUCUAGCCUGUACUUUCUGCUGAUGAAAUUGAAGUUUUAUUAGAAUUCUGCAAUUCCUCGAAGGCUGUCUAACCUUUCAAUUUGCUGAACAUUUCUCGCAAUCCGUUCUAGUACUGGUUUUGAUUCUAAGGUGUUAUUGGAAGCCUGGUUGAGUGAGCAUGAUCUUUUAAAUUGACAUUACACUGACAUUACACACUUAUGUAAUGUUUUUAUGUAGAUUCUGAUGCAAUAGAUUUUUAUGUUUUACCUUUGACGUACUUUUGUGAUAAUUGAUCAUCUUCUGGACGGUCGUACAUAUAUUGUGUCUUCCGCAAGAUGAGGAACGAAUGAAAGCAGAAAAGCUGCACCUUUUCCUCAGUCAAUACAUCUAAGUACUCCCAGAAAAUCAGCUGAAUCAGUGCCUUCAUAAAAAAGCAUUUCAGUCUUCGCAGCAUCAAGAGGAAAUUGGGAUUGUCACAGGGAAUUGGGGUUGCGGUGCUUUUGGUGGAGAUCCUCAACUUAAAGCUAUUAUUCAGUGGCUUGCUGCUUCUCAGGUGAUGCCUUCUACGGGCUUCAUUUUCAGCUUCUUUAUGUGGUGCAAUGCACCAAGUGUGAUUAACUGAUUCCAUAUUGGACAUUAUGACAUUUUGCUAGUCUGGAAAGAUUUAUUUACUGUGUUCUGUUUUCUGUUCUAAUUCUUCUUUCUCAGUCUUAUAUUCCUAGUAAAUAUUAGAUAUCCAUGUUAAUUGUCAGGUGAACCAUUUCUAUAUGUUAUUUGAUAAUACUGAGAAAGUUGCUGAGCUAUUUUGAGCUAAUGUAUUGCCUUGCGGAAAAAAUGGAUCUGUCAUGAUGUUGUGUUUAGUCCAAAUUUAUUCUGAGAUUGCUUCUUGAUAUAUGCUGCUCUUUACUUACGUCUUCGUUUCUGUCAUCAUGAUUGAAUUCUUGAAAGAAUUGCAAACAUGUGACUUACUAAAUCCUUUCUACUGCUGUUGUAAUGGAAUCUGGUUUAGGAAUGGAUGCUUGGCCCGUAUCCUAUUUGUGUAAUACCAUAAUUAUUUGACAUACAAUAUGGACAUUCUUUCUCUUUCCGAAGACAUCAGUUCAUAGAUUUCGUGCAUUUUGUUAUCAACUGGUUUUAUUUAGUCUUCUCCUUUCAGUUCUUCUAUGAUUUUUCUGAUAUUGUCCUAUGUUCCAGGCAUUAAGACCUUUCAUCUUGUACCACACAUUUGGUUUGGAGACAUUGGAGGUGCUAGAUCAGGUACUUAACUUCUGCCAGCUGUAAAUGAUGUUUAACGUAUUGAUUUGAAUGUAUAUGAGAUUUUUUCUCUUUUUUUUUUAUUGUUUUUCUGCUGAAUAAUGGAUUUCUGUUUUAGGAGCACCAAAAUAAGUAAAGGACAAGUGGUCUUGGUUACUUUGUCAGCUUUAAGUAUGUGGCCUUAAAAAAGGAUGAUCUUUGGAGUAUUUCUUUGUAUUCAGACACUUACCCCCUCCAUCAUAAUUUGUUCUUCACUUCUGGGUCCCAAUUCCUAUUGCACUUACCUGCACAAUUCUCAUGUAUAUCCACAUGCACUUGUAGUCAGCUUCUUCAAGGCCAAGCUAUAAAAAGUACACGAUUGACCACUAUUUGUGCAUUGUUAUUUCGAAAGGGGUUUCCUAAAAGUGAAGAACAAACUGUAUUCUAGUCCUGCAAUCUUCUUUUAGAGAUGUGAUCAAAUGGUCAAAUUGUGACUAAGUGUGGUGUCUCCUCCAAGCAUUUUCUUAAUGCUAAUCUUAAAAGGCAAACUAUCCUUUGGUUGGUUACCUUUGCCAAGGUUUAGUUUGCCCCUUUGACUCAAAUUCAUUUGGUCCAUUUAUUAACUAUAGCUCAAAGAUGGUUGCCAUUAUCUUUUGGAGUUCUUCUGUUAAAUUUAUUAUCAUUUCUUGAACAAGGAACUUCCCUUGUUUUUAAGGUUGUGGCAGACUAAGUUCAAAUUCAAAAAGUAACAAAUCGGUGGUGAAGGAGCACGGUUGAAACUUUACCAAAUUUAGUGCUCGAUGAUGUGGCUGUUGCAUUUCAAAUACUGAAAUAAUUUCUUGUCAAUUGUUUAUGCUGCUGGAUACUGUGUCUCCUGCACUUUGCGAAUUAUAGGUCUAACACGCGGCCUAUUAUUCAUUAGAUUCUUAGAUCUGACUGAUUGAACUUUGGACCACCUUUCAUUAUUUUAUGGAUGGACACUUUCUUUUCAUGCCCAUUGGUUGUUGACAAUUUCUCUUUUAGGUGACUCGCUGGAUUAUAUCCCAUGAGUGGACUGUUGGAGAACUUUGGAAUAUGAUGGUUGAGUACGGAUCCAAGAGAUUAAAAGGUGAAGCCAGAGUUGGCUUUUUCAGUUGGCUCCUUCCCUUGGUAGAUUCCAAUGAUGCAUGAGCUGUUGGGCAUCACCUCAAUCUUCAUGAGAUUUACUGAGCAUUGACCAAAAUUUCUUCUUUGGUGGGCACUUUCUUGGCUUGGUGCGGCUCAUAUUUGAUUCACUAUGGAAGACUAGCAUAGUGUAAAUGCUUUCACUGUUAGUUGCACUGUGGAAAUAUAGAAUACUCGGCAUAAUUUUUCCCUAUAGGGGUGCGUGGUCUGUGUAUCUGAGGGACAUUUUAUUGUUCGUUAGUGACAAAAAAGAAGUGCAUCUGGAGUUGCUCUGCGCCAAUGGUUGAUUUUGUCUGACCCAAGAUCUCCUUUGCAAUUCACCUGUAAGGGAGAAUGGAUGAGCUCAAGGGCAGGUAAAAUGAAGGCAUUCUAGCUAUUCAUUGAACAAGAAAAUGACAGGAGAGGGGGGGUUGCAUGCACGGAGAUGGAGGGUAUUUACUAUCUGCUGCCCACUGCCCCGGAUUUGAAACUGCUGUGGAAGCAUAUGCGAUCAAACUCUGGCUUGCGACAGCAACUCUGCUGCUAUCAGAAUUUGUUGGUUAGAAAGCUUUGUCCAUAACCAACCUAGUUAUGAGGAUCUAACCCGCAUUCAUGUAAUACCUUUCUUUCUUGUUUAGUGAACGGAGGCUCGUAGAAUUCGCUGAAAGAUAGGAUCAGCUGUUUGGUACGUCUCCUUUUGUACCUAUAAUUAAGUCUAUACACGUUAGGAUGAGGUUCAAAAGUUACCAUUCAUACAAGGACCAUUAAUUUGACAUAUCUUUUACUUCCACAAAAUAAAAUAGGGGAAAAAAAUUCUCAUUACUGAAAAUUGGUCUACACAAACUAGGGCUGUUCACGAAUUGGAUUGCGAGCGCCUCGAAUACGAGCUCGACUCGAGCUCGGUCAAUAUCAAGCUCGAGUCGAGCUUGAGCUCAAAAACAUUAAGAUCGUUGGCUCGCGAGUUCGAUUAUAUGUAUGUAUCUUUUAUUUUUUAUUUUAAUAGUAAAAUUACAUAUAUAUUCUUAAUAUUUUAUUAUUUGUUAAGAAAAAUUAUUAUUUUAUUUAUUUUUAAAAUAAAAUAAUUAUUUUUUAUUUUUUAAAAAUAAAAUAAUUAUUUUUAUUUUUUAACCUCGAGCUCGACUCAAAUUUGAGUUCGUUGAGCUCGAGCUCGAGCUCGAGUUCCAGUUUUGUAAAAUUAACUAGAGGUUCGGUUCGAUUAGAUCAAAACUCAAUUCGACUCGAUUCGUUUGCACCCUUAACACAAACACAAGCAUUGGGUAGAGCGGGAUUAAUUUAAUGCAUGUCUAGACUUGUAAGAGGGUGGUGGAUAAACUUGCCCUGAUAAUGACUUUAGGGGAUUAAUUCUUUCUUUGUGCUUGAUGUUUCAUGAUGAACAUCAAUUUUUUUGUUUGGGGUGGUUUUGAGAGUUCGAGUUUGAAAAUAUUUUUUACCGUUCCAAUGAUUAGCUUAUUGUAAUUUUCCCAUUCCAGGGAUUAUUUUACCUACUUAUAUCCUUUUUUUUUCUUUUUCAAUGCUCUUAGUAGGCCAGAUGCUCUCGUGCUAACUAUCCCAUAAUUUGAAAUUAAAAAAAAAAUCUAAUUUGGCAUCUAAAAGAGGAUCCAAUAUUAGGCAUCUUUUUUCCAAUUUAUGCACUUGAUAAAUAAAAGGAACCAAAUAUAAAAAGAUUUUAGUUGAGCUAAAUUUUCUUAUAAUUGUGGUGACAGCAAGAAUCUUAAGGUAUGAAAAAAAAAUGUUUUGUUAAAUUUUGGAAGUUGUUAUUUUUUGUAUGAAUAAUGGAUAUAUUUUAGGGUUAAUUACAUUUACCUCCCCUGAGGUUUGACCAUAUUACCAAUCAAUCCCUGUAAUUUGUCCAAAUAACGGUCUCACCCUUUGAAUGAUCAAACAUUUAACAAAAACCCCCUUAAUGCCGAAAAUGCCCUUAUUGAGGCCAUAUUGCAUUAAAAAAAGAAUAUAUUUUUAUUUAUUAACCUUCAAGUAAUCCAAAAAAAUAGAAAAAGUUUUUGCUUAUUAUUUUAUAAAAAUCACAUCUUUACUUCCAUAAAUAGUUUUGAAUCAAUAAUUAUUUUAAAUCUUAAAAAUGAAUAUUAAAAAUUAUAUAAAUUGAAAGAAAAAUAAAAAAGAAGCAAUUAUUUUAAAUCCUCAAGUAUGGUUCGAAUUUGUGGUUCAAGGCAUGUUGCGGAGAGCACAAGGCAUGUUUUCCUCAAUUUGAACCAUACUCUAGGAAUUAAAAUAAUUUCUUCUUUUUUUAUUUUUCUUUCAAUUUAUCUAAUUUUUAAUAUUCAUUUUUAAGAUUUAAAAUAAUUAUUGAUUCAAAACUAUUUAUGGAAGCAAAGAUAUGGUUUUUAUAAAAUAAUAAGCAAAAACUUUUUUCUAUUUUUUUGGAUUGCUUCAGGGUUAAUAAAAUAAAAAUAUGUUCUUUUUUUAAUGCAACAUGGCCUCAAUAAGGGUAUUUUCGCCAUUAAGGGGGUUUUUGUUAAAUGUUUGAUCAUUCAAAGGGUGAGACCGUUAUUUGGACAAAUUACAAGGAUUGAUUGGUAAUAUGGUCAAACCUCAGGGGAGGUAAAUGUAAUUAACCCUAUAUUUUAUUGACCCUGUAUAGUAAUGGCCCCAUAAGUAAAUUAACAAGUUAGAUCAAAUAUUUAAUGUAACUAGUAUAAUAAUUGAGGGGCAAUUUUGGCAUAAAAAAAUCUUCUCACAUCUGAAAUUAUUUUCUUAUUGUUGCUUUUUUGAAUUGGAUUAAAUUGUUACAAGAAAAUUAGUUUUAAGGGAGGUUAGUAAUAUUUUUAGAACCUCAGGGGAGGGGCAGUGAAACUAUUAGAAACCUCCCCUGUUAUCCCUAUUAUUGUAUCAUCCUUGCUCCGGAAACCUGCCUUUCCACUGCUAGUGCUGGAGUAGAAAACAGUCGCAGGAUACCAAGUUUUCGGGUUAAUUUCACUUUAUCCCCCCAAACUUUGGACGAUUACUCACUUUAGUCCCUAAACUUCAAAAUGGGACACUUAAGUCACUAAAACUUAUAAAUUUGGACACUUAACUCCCUAAACUUAUAAAAUCGGACACUUAAAUCCCUAAACUCUUAUAAAAUGGGACACUUCGACCACCAUGGCAUUCAGGAUUUUGUUAACAAUUUUCCUUAAUUGGGAGGUAUUUAUAAGUUUAGGGAUUUACUUGUCCUAUUCUAAAGUUUAGGGACUAAAGUGAAUAACCGUCCAAAGUUUGGGGGGACAAAGUGGAAUUAACCCCCAAGUUUGCUGUCUUUUGUAGUCCGUAAGAACUAAGAAAGAAUUGAGGAGACCGGUUUCCAUCGGCAAAGCAAAGAACUUCAGCACUCCACCUCUCUAUCUCUCCUUCUCUGGAUUCAAGCUUUUCACAGUACCAAAACAAAAUACUAUUGUAAGUGGUAAGAAGCCCGCAUUCAAAUCCCUUUCUUGGUUACCACUAAACUUUUGUACCUUCUAUGUGAGUCCUUCUGGAGUUAGUAGUAGUACAAAUAUAUGCAAGUCCUCCCUGCUGCAUGUUGCCUUUUUCGUUUUUUUUUUCCCCAAAUCAAAGUUUGAAUCUUUCUCUGUGAUUUCAAUUGAAAAGUGGACAGCAUCUUUUCCACUGGGGAGUGAGGGGUUGUGGGAGUUUUCCUAUGGAGAUAACCUUGAGACAUCUUCUCAUGUAAUUGUAAUUUAAAGCUUCUCUAUUGUUAUCUAUUUGUCCUUUUCUUUUCUUUUAAUCCUUGGAGAAUUGCACAUUUCCAUUUUUCUGCUACAAAGGAAGGGGUUGCUCUAUGGGGCUUUGUUUGUUAAUUCCACAUUUUGAGGCUCUUGGGUUGGCUGUUGAAAUAAGUAGUCUGUAUUUAGCUGGUAUCCCAUUUUUCAGCACUCCACUGCUGUUGGCGUUUGCUAAAUUCUGAUUUUUUUUCAAAAGGAUCUUUUAGUUUCAUGCCCUUUUAUAUAUAUCUAGCAGCAGAAGAGAUGUCUGUGGCGGCUUCGGCUGCUGCUGCUGCUGUUGGGGCUGGGGCGGUCGCCUUGUUCAGACUAAACAGGUUGCCUUCUUCCCCCUCCACCUCCUCCUGCUCUUGUCUUCUUCUCAAAGGACUCCGAGCUUUUGCACCAUUUCCAUACCGAUACCACUUCGCUUCUUAUUCUACUUCUUCUUUGCUUUCACAAGAAGCAGCAGCUGUUGCUUCCCAACUUCCACGCUCACACGCCGCCAAUACCUCCUCCAAUGUGGUGGAAAUUCUUGAACAGAGAGGCCUGCUGGAAUCUCUCACCAGCGAUAGUCUCAGGUCGGUCUGCUCCUCCUCUGCCCCUAACCAAGCACCUCUUCGAGUCUACUGUGGUUUUGACCCCACCGCUGAUAGCCUCCACCUCGGCAAUCUCCUUGGCAUUAUUGUCCUCUCUUGGUUCCUCCGCUGCGGUCAUCGUGCUGUCGCUCUCAUUGGGGGAGCCACCGGCCGCGUAGGCGACCCUUCUGGCAAGAGUUCCGAAAGGCCUGAGCUUGACCUUGAAACCCUCCAUAAGAACAUUUCUGGGAUUUCCGCCACCAUUUGCCACAUUCUUAGCAGGGCUGCUCCUAUCCCUGAUUCUGUUUCUAUCCUGAAUAAUUAUGAGUGGUGGAAAGAUGUUAGGCUGCUGGAUUUCCUCAAGGAUGUUGGGAGGUAUGCGAGGGUGGGCACCAUGAUGUCCAAGGAAAGCGUCCGCAAGAGGCUUGAAUCUGAUCAGGGCAUGAGCUACACUGAGUUCACCUACCAGAUCCUGCAGGGCUACGACUUUGUCCAUCUCUUUCGCCAAGAAGGAGUCUCUGUUCAGAUCGGUGGCAGCGAUCAAUGGGGCAACAUCACUGCCGGGACUGACCUUAUCCGCAGAAUUCUUCGCGUUGAAGGGGCAGCCCAUGGACUCACAUUCCCUCUCCUCCUCAAGAGUGAUGGUACUAAAUUUGGAAAAUCAGAGGAUGGUGCCAUUUGGCUUUCCCCUUCCAAGUUGACCCCUUAUAACUUUUACCAGUAUUUCUUUUCAGUUCCUGAUGAUGAUGUUGUUAGGUUCCUCAAGAUACUUACUUUCUUGAGCUUGGAGGAGAUUGCACGGCUGGAAAGGGACAUGGAUACCCCCGGCUAUGUUCCCAACACUGCCCAGCGUAGGCUGGCUGAGGAGGUUACUCGCUUUGUACAUGGCCAAGAGGGUCUGGACGAGGCUCUCAAGGCCACUGAGGCUCUGAGGCCUGGGGCAGCUACCAAGUUGGAUGCUAAAACCAUUGAGGGGAUUGGAGAGGAUGUUCCUUCUUGUUCGCUGCCUUACGAUCAGGUCCUGAGUCUGUCUCUGUUGGAUCUCUCCGUUUCAAGUGGAUUGCUUGAGAGUAAAUCAACAGCACGGCGUCUACUCAAGCAAGGAGGGCUUUAUCUGAACAACGGUAGGGUUGACAGUGAGGCGAAAAAGAUUGAGGCAAAUGAUAUUAUAGACGGAAAAGUUAUCCUUUUAUCUGCUGGAAAGAAGAAUAAGAUGGUUGUAAGAGUUUCUUGAUUGCCUUUGCCUUGGAUUAUUUUUCAUUUAUUUUACAUCGCAGAACGUUCAUCAUUGCAAGUUUUGGAUUUGUCUAGAUUAAACAUAUGGACUUAGAUUUUGGUGGAGUUAAUGCUAUUUGGAAUAUCUUUUGUUCCUCUUUUCCGUGAUUAUUGUAUUCUAUUAUAGAUAUUACUUAUCAUUUCAGCAGCUUCACUCUGAUCUGAAUUUUUUCACUAUUAAUCAUUUAUAGUGGAAGUACCUUUCGAAGGCAUUCUCAACUACUGAGAUCGCUUAAGUCUCUUGUUUUUGAAAUUCUCAUUUUGUUUGUUAUCUCAAGAAAAUAGAUAUAGAAUCAACAUAGUCUGUAAUUAUGCACUAAGCAUAGCUCAAGAUGAGGAAUGGGAUAAUCCUCAGUGUUAGGUACAUUUUUGUAAAGCGAAAUUUGGGCCGUUGCCCAACAAUUGUACACUUUUACCUGAUCAAUAUAUAUAUAUAUCUUAUCGUUUCUGGAAAAAAAAAUUAUACUUCAUAAUGUAUAAUAUAUCAUCUAUUGUUAAUAAAAUUUGCAACUUUCUGGACUUCUUGGUUCACUACACUAAAUUGUUUAAUUCAGUGGAGACUGAUGUCGAUCACAGAAUACCUCUUUUCUACAGCAAAUAUUCUCAAAGAUAAUAAGAGAUGGAACGAAGCAUGUGCUGGGUAAAGGAGUUAAAAUCUAUAGCCAUGCCUUGCAGUUCUUCAGAAGGGGUGACUUGAUAAUUCAACUUAUACAAACCUAAACUUUCCCAAGCUGCGGAGAAAUUUUUAAUUUGUUUUGGGCUACAUUAGCUUUUGUUGUCAAAGGGAAGUUUUGAUUUUGAAAGCUAUUGAGAAUUUGGGGGUUGUGGGAAGGUAUGGAACUGCUGUAAAUCCCCUUUACCUACCAAUUUGCCCCGCAUAGCAAUGGCUUUGGCUUGUCUUGUUGGUUUGUCUGUUUAAAUGACAUAAAACAAAUAGAAGUUUUCAUUCUUGAUGGUACAAUAUGUGUCAUGUAAUGGUAAACAUUCAAUAUUCUCCACUCCCUUUAAGGACAAAAGAUUGGUGCCCUAUUUUGGCAGCAUCAUUUGGUGGGAACAGAGAAGCAAGUUUCUUUUAGUUAUUAUCUGAAUUUAUGCUCCCGGAUGAUUGUUGAAAUGAUGUGAGUCAGCUGAUUCUCAGUUGAAGGAUAAAAAUUUGUUAUGAAUAUUAGUUGCUAGUUCUUCAAUGGUAAAGGUUCGAAUGCUAAAUUAACAUGCUUCAAAAAAGUUCUUAUAAUUCCUCUGAAGACAUAUUUCCUAGUAUUGAUAGCAAGAAACAAAAAAGCUUAAUGGUCUGAAAUGUUACUACAAAUCUUUCCCGAUAUGUCUACUAUGUCUGGACUUAAGACACCUCAAGCCCCCCCCCCCCUCCUCCCCAAAAAAAAAAAAAAGAAAGUGUGAGGUGGUUUGACUAGGUCUUCCAACGAUGGCUGAUUUGCUCUUGAAUUUGCGGUCCCUUUUGGAGACCAACUAUCAGCAGCAGCAGCAGCAGCUGCUUAAGAGUAUGCCUACUGUUGCCUCUGCUUGUUAGACACUCUCAAGUAAGAAUGUCAACUCUUUAUGGAGUACUAUUAAUACUUACUACUAUUAAUUAUUUGUACCUAGUACUAGUUUAUAAGCACUUAUAGACGGUUUAAUCAAUUAUGUGUGAGAAUACAGCUACUCCAUUUGAUUACAUACUGUUCUUUGACAAUGCAUUGAUUCAUGAAAACUUCUUUUGUUCUGCUCCUGCUUUACCAUUUACAUCUGUUUGUUUGUUUUAUACGACAACAGGAGUUGAUUUCUGCACUGUUUUACAAAACUUGCAUGCAGCAACACACUUAAAAGGGUAAAAUUAGUACUGGUCAAGGUAAAACUUAUCCUGGCAAUUGCCAAACUAUGGAAAAUUGUUGGUACCAAAUUGCAAAUCGUACCCAUGCUCAUUGCUUAGUUGUCCUACUUCGACUAUAGGAGAAAUGCAAGUUUAGUUCUCAAUAUUUAGCAUGUGUGCUAAAUUGGUCCUUAAUAUUUCAACUAAAAAUGAGACCCACUAUCGGCGCCAGCAGCAGCAGCCCCUUGAUAGUAAUACAACUUGCCUCCGCUUGUUGGACUCCCAGCAGCCUGGCCUUGUGCUUCUCUCUCAAGUAAGAAUAAGAAGCAAAUUCCUUCACUCUUUACGGACUUCUUUUUAUGCUUGUUUCUAUUGGCCGUUUGUUCCUACGAUUAGUAUAGCACCAAAUGUUGCUACUUUAACCAAUUAAAUGCCAGAAUGCGUUUAUUCUGUUCAAUUUUGGAUUGAUUGUUCUUUCUCUAGGCAUUUUGAUUCAUGGAAACUUCUUUUCUUCUGCUCCUACUUUACAAUUUGCAUUUCUGGUUAACAUUGAUGGUUGUUGUGCUUGUUUUAUUUCACAACAGGAGUUGAUUGCUGCUCUGCUUUCUUGCGCUUUCUUUUCUUUAUUUCCUGCUGCUAAUAGAGGUGCCACAUAUCUCCCAGCGAUCAACUUUCAUCAUUUAUUUGCGUAUGUUAUCAUUCCAUCAAUCAGCAUCAUCAUCAAUUGUGCAUACCCCUUCAUUAUUAACUACUCUGCUAUUCUUGCACUCUUGCUUGUCCUUGCAAACUGACACCUUUUCCCUGCCAUAUUACCAGCAAUGUUCUAUGGGCCCUUUUUGUUCAUAUCAAGGACCAACCGGCUUGGGCAACCUUAUUGAAAACUGAUGAUUUUUUUUUUUCUUUGAAACUGAUGGUCACAAGGUUCCUAUGGGUCUGAAGUUUCUUUGGGCUGUUUUGUUAACUGUGUCAAGACUUAGUCUUUCUUCAAUUUAGCUUUUCUAUGACAACAUUUUCCUGGUGUAAAGCUGGCCUUUGAGUUUGUAAUUAAGCGUGUAGAUCAGAAAGCAUGAAGGAGAAUACACUUAGUGUACCGCAUGUGUGUGCUUAAUUUAACAUAACAAGGAAGGAUUAUAAUGCAUAAGAAGUUGACGACCUACUACUACUUACAGUUUCAUGUCUCCAUCUCUUAUUUUGAUCUGUGCACUUCAGUCAUCGUGGUCGGAUCACAGUCAAACCUUGAAAGUGUAGGAUAGUGGCAACUUAAAGAGAGAGAGAGAGAGAGAGAGAGAGGGGGGGUUGGAUCUACAAUCUCGAAGCUUGUGGAAGAGAAGCUAUAAACUUUGGGAGUGAUUAUGCAUAUUGUAACUUCAUCAAUCAAAUCUAAUGAGUGCUGUUGAUUCUUAUCUGAAUUUUCAGUUCAGUCGGCAAGUGGAUAUAUCUGAUACUAAUGUUGUUUCAGGUCUCUAUACGGGUGUUAUGAGGAGUACCAGGAAAGCAAAAUAAAGUACAUUGAUUUGAAUGUAUAUGAGAUUUUUUCUCUUUUUUUAUUGUUUUUCUGCUGAAUAAUGGAUUUCUGUUUUUGGAACACAAAAAUAAGUGAAGGACAAGUGGUCUUGGUUACUUUGUCAGCUUUGAGUAUGUGGCCUUAAAAAAGGAUGAUCGUUGGAGUAUUUCUUUGUAUUCAGACACUUGCUCCCUCCAUCAUAAUUUGUUCUUCACUUCUGGGUCCCAAUUCCUAUUGCACUUACCUGCACAAUUCUCAUGUAUAUCCACAUGCACUUGUAGUCAGCUUCUUCAAGGCCAAACUAGAAAAAGUACACGAUUGACUGCUAUUUGUGCAGUGUUAUUUCAAAAGGGGUUUCCUAAAAGUGAAGAACAAACUGUAUUCUAGUCCUGCUAUCUUCUUUUAGAGAUGUGAUCAAAUGGUCGAAUUGUGACUAAGUGUGGUGUCUCCUCCAAGCAUUUUCUUAAUGCUAAUCUAAAAAGGCAAACUAUCCUUUGGUUGGUUACCUUUGCCAAGGUUUAGUUUGCCCCUUUGACUCAAAUUCAUUUGGUCCAUUUAUUAACUAUAGCUCAAAGAUGGUUGCCAUUAUCUUUUGGAGUUCUUCUGUUAAAUUUAUUGUCAUUUUUUGAACACGGAACUUCCCUUGUUUUUAAGGUUGUGGCAGACUAAGUUCAAAGAUAAAACGUAACAAAUCGGUGGUGAAGGAGCACGGUUGAAACUUUACCAAAUUUAGUGCCCGACGAUGUGGCUGCACUUCGCGAAUUAUAGGUCUAACACGCGGCCUAUUAUUCAUUAGAUUCUUAGAUCUGACUGAUUGAACUUUGGACCACCUUUCCUUAUUUUAUGGAUGGACACUUUCUUUUCAUGCCCAUUGGUUGUUGACAAUUUCUGGAGAUGCUCUGCACCAAUUGUUGAUUUUGUCUGACCCAAGAUCUCCUUUGCAAUUCACCUGUAAGGGAGAAUGGAUGAGCUCAAGGGCAGGUAAAAUGGAGGCAUUCUAGCUAUUCAUUGAACAAGAAAAUGACAGGAGAGGGGGGGUUGCAUGCUGGAGGGUAUUUACUGUCUACUGCCCACUGCCCCGGAUUUGAAACUGCUGUGGAAGCAUAUGUGAUCAAACACUGGCUUGCGACGGCAACUUUGCUGCUACCAGAAUUUGGUUAGAAAGCUUUGUCUAUAACCAGCCUAGUUAUGAGGAUCCAACCCACAUUCAUGUAUUCCUCUCUUGCUUGUUUUGUGAACGGAGGCUCGUUGAAUUCGCUGAAAGAUGGGAUCGGAUGUUUGGUCUAAAAUUGUUUUGUCCGCUUCCAUGAGUAUGGCUCUUUUCGUCAAGUUGAUUUCUCAAUCUUUGUGCCUAUAAUUAAGUCUAUAUGCGUAGUAUUAGGUUCAAAAGUUACCGUUCAUACAAGGACCAUUAAUUUGUCAUAUCUUUUACUUCCACAAAAUAGGGAAAAUUUUGUCUCGUUACUGAAAAUUGGUCUACACAAGCAUUGGGUAGAGCGGGAUUAAUUUAUUGCCCGUCUAGACUUGCAAGGGUGGUGGAUAUGCUUGCCCCGAUGAUGACUUCAGGGAUUAAUUCUUUUCUUUGUGCUUGAUGUUUCAUGAUGGGGUUAAAACGAGGGAAAAAAAUUCCCCUCAUCCCGCCCUAUUACUUCCCCCGGGAUGAGCGCGGGUACGCGCCCCUGUUGCCAUCCCUAGAUAUUAUUAUAUGGGAUUAAAUAUAGAAAAUUCUCAUGAACUUUUAUAGCUGUUGCACAAUAUACUCCAAAGUAUGUUUAUAGGCACUUUGCACCCUAAGAAAACUAUCGUUCACAGAUUUCAUGACCAUACAAAGCGCGUGUCUUGCAAGCUCUGUCCAUUGAAAUUUCUUGAUAUAAUUGUCAUCCUUUCAAACAAAUAUAAAUGGCUAUCUCCAGCUAUCGUUACUUGUUCAUUCUACUCAUUUAUUAUCAUUUUCAUCAUAGUUUUUCCCCUUUUAUUUCCUCUUUUUCACAAAUGCUGCACAAUUUCUACAUUGAGCAUAGUCCUAAUAAUUGCAGCUCAAGCGAUGCAUAUGAAGCAACAAACUUCAACUCAAGAUGCAGGUGUGGAAGAAUGGCACCUCUAUGCACUUCAUGGACUAUUCACAAUUCAAGAAGAAAAUUAAUUGGAAUAACUAAUGUAGUAUUUUUUGGGAUGUGAUCUAUGCAAAAAAAAAAAAAAAAAAAAAAAGAUGGUUCGAAAGAUAAAAAGUUGAUUGCAAAUUGUAUUUGUGAUGCAAGUAAAAUAUUAUUCGAAAUAAUUUUGUUAUCCAAAAAGAAAACAAAAAGUACGAAAAUUUUAUCUUCUCAAAUGAGUAAAAAAUUUCUAAAAAAAAGUCAUUAACCAAUAAUAUACUACUACUAAUAUUUUCUUUUUUAUUUUAAUCUUAUUAUUUGUCACUUUACUAUUAAUAAUUAGAUUUAUUAUGGGCUCAUUUGUUUUUGAUGUAUCUAAAUAAUUUGAAUACUAUACAAAAUAUGCUUUGCACAUAACUAACAUAUAUUUGCAAUUAUUAUUACUAGUAAUAACUGAACAUAAAAAAGAGAUGAAAAGAGAAUAAGUUGAAGUUCAUUAAAAAUAAUAGAUAAAUAAUGAUAGUAAAAAAUUGAAAUAACUAGUCACACAAGACAGAAAAGAAUAAGAAAAAUGUAAAAUGGAACAAGGUAAAGAGUAAAGAAAAAAGUACCAAAAAUAAUUGAUAUAUAAAUAAUAUUCCAAACAAUAGUUUUUUUUUACAUACAUCAUAUUCCAAAAUUAUUUAGAUACUUUAUGGACCAUCACAUCCCACUCUAUGCAACACAAUGGCCAAUCGGACAUGAAGGAUGCUUUUAUCUGUUCAAUUAUUAUUUGAGAAUACAGUUAUCAUUUCAGUGAUAAAGUGAACGAUACAUAAAAAUUAGUUACUUUUCAGUGGAUUUUGGAUGCAAAUUACCUAUAAACAUACUUUGAAGUGUGUCGUGCAAGUGCAACAGCUAUAAAAGUUCACACGGGCGGUUUCUGAAAUUAUCCCUAUUAUUGUAUCAUCCCUUGCUCCAGAAAUUCGCCAUGCCACUGCUAGAGUAGAAAACAUUAGCAGGAUACCAAGUUUGCUAUCUUUUGUAGUCCGUAAUACUAAAUACCAGCAAGAAGAACUAAGAAAGAAUUGAGGAGACCGGUUUCCAUCCGCAAAGCAAAGAACUUCAGCACUCCACCUCUGUAUCUCUCCUUCUCUGGAUUCAAGCUUUUCACAGUACCAAAACAAAAUACUAUUGUAAGUGGUAAGAAGCCCGCCUUCAAAUCCCUUUCUUGGUUACUACUAAACUUUUGUACCUUCUAUGCCAUCGGGAGUUAGUAGUAGUACAAAUAUAUGCGAGUCCUCCCUGCUGCAUGUUGCCUUUUUUCGUUUUUUUUUUCCCCAAAUCAAAGUUUGAAUCUUUCUCUGUGAUUUCAAUUGAAAAGUGGACAGCAUCUUUUCCACUGGGGAGUGAGGGGUUGUGGGAGUUUUCCUAUGGAGAUAACGUUGAGACAUCUUCUCAUGUAAUUGUAAUUUAAAGCUUCUCUAUUGUUAUCUAUUUGUCCUUUUCUUUUCUUUUAAUCAUUGGAAAAUUGCACAUUUCCAUUUUUCUGCUACAAAGGAAGGGGUUGCUCUAUGGGGCUUUGUUUGUUAAUUCCACAUUCUGAGGCUGCUGGGUUGGCUGUUGAAUGAGUAGUGUGUAUUUAGCUCGAAUCUCAUUUUUCAGCACUCCACUGCUGUUGGUGUUUGCUAAAUUCUGAUUUUUUUUUUCCGAAGGAUCUUUUAGUGUCCUGCCCUUUCAUAUAUCAUACUUUCUUUAUCUCAUGCUUCUGCCCUGAUGGUUGAGAAGAACGCGAUCGCACAAAGUCAAGUACAGACGAAAAGUUUCGUGAAAUAUAUUCUUAUUUUCGUUUUUUUUCCUGGAAGACUGGAAAGAAGGAAUUGCUAACUGUGUUUCCGUGGAAUAAAGAUAAGAUAGCCUGUUUAACCAUUGACAUUUGCCAUUGUAAUUUAGGAGUAAAGCUUCUACCUUUACGUGGAUAUUGAGAUUGGAUUUGUUUUGGGUUCUUUUCUGCAUUUGUAUUGCACACGCGUCUUUUCUUGUCUAUUGAGGCCACUAUUGCUGCUACUCAAGUUGAAAAAGUUUUCACUGUUAUUUUGCAGCACUGGUUGCAAUUAGAGGACCUUGCAGUAAAGGUUGUUCUUCAGCUACUAAGAUAAAAGGCAGUCGUGGUUACAACAAAUGGAUGCAUUGAGGCUGCAGUCUUGGUUCUCACCUAUUAAAAUAAAAGGCAGAAAAGAUUCUUCUUCAUGCUAUGGUGAUCUCUCUAUGAGGAGAAAGAAACAGAACCAAACUGUUAUAUCAUCAACCUGGAUGUCUAUGAACAGCCUAUCCAGAUCGCCUUCAUGGGUACGUGCAUCUGAUUCUCAUUUCCCUUCCGUGUCUAAUGUCUAUUUCUACUUCAUAAUAUUCAUUUGUGUGUCAAUUCAUAUCAUUGUGGAGGUCUUAGUGGUAGGGGUUUUUGAUCAGGUUCAUGGGUUCAGAGAAUAUAGGUUAAAGACUACUAAAGCAGUGGGUGUAUCAGAGGCGGAGGAUGGGAGGGAGAAAGGAAGCAAAAAAUCUGGUGAAAAUUCUAUACCUGAUGAUGCCUUUGAUAUGGAUGAUGAAGAGAGGCAGGCAUGGAGGAAAAAAAUUAGGGAAGUGAUCAGUACGAACCCUGCCAUUGAUGAAGAGGUAGAUCCUGAUGAAUGUAGAAAAAAGAUGCAAAAGCUUUUGGCGGAUUAUCCUCUUGUUGUUGAGGAAGAUGACCCCGAUUGGCCAGAAGAUGCUGAUGGUUGGGGUUUCAGCUUAGGUCAAUUCUUCAACAAGAUUACCAUUAAAAAUGUCAAGAAGGAUGAUGAUGACAACUAUGAUAGUGAAAAUGAAAUUGUGUGGCAAGAUGAUGAUUAUAUCCGUCCAAUUAAGGACAUAACAUCUGCAGAAUGGGAAGAGGCAGUGUUCAAGGACAUCAGUCCUUUAGUUGUUCUUGUACAUAACCGUUAUAAAAGGUUUGUUUGCUUUACUUUGUUUUUGUCAUUGGCACUCUUUUAGUGCAAGUUAAUUGGUUUUAAUGUCCAUGUUUUUCUUUUUAAAAUGUUGCUGGGAUUAGUUACCUCAAAUUGCCUGUCUUUUAAUAUGAUGCUUAGUGUUGUAGAUUAGUGCUGAUGCCUGACUAUUUGCUGUGCCUGAAUCAUUUUGGGAUAAUUUCUGGCUAUCAAUUUCUUAGCUAGGUGAUCUCUUUGAGUUCUUAUUCUUCUGCUGUGAUAUGUCCCUCCCUGGGUUAAACAUUUAGGAACGUUUGUCCAGAAAUGCUAUUGAUAUUGCAUAUGCAUAGCCUUUGUUGAGUUACUUUGACCUUUAUAGCAGGCUAUUGCCAGCUAAGUGUUUGUCGAUUGAUCUUAAGGUCGCAGUAUUAUGUGACUAUGUCUUAUCAGUUUUUGAACUCUGGCUUGCUUAUAUAUUCUACCUUGCAUCGAAUAACUUGCAAACAUAGAACUGAGGUCCUGGUAAUAUGCCAACAAGAAUUUACUGAUUGCAAUUGGCAUUAUUUGAUUUGAUUCACCUACAUAGGCAUGCUUGGUUGCUUGACUUGGCAAAGUUACUGAACAGCAAAAUUUUGAAAGAAUUGAUAUGAUCCUCUACCUCCCCUCUUGUGCUCUUCCCCUUGCUUGUUGAUCCUAAUUUUCUGGGUUUUGGAUAACUUUGUGGCAUUUGUCUACAUAUAUAUUUGCAGAGCUGUUAUCUGGAAAAAUAUAGUAAUAUGAAAAUGCAGAUGGAAGGCUUUUGCUGACACCCUUUGCAGCUACUUUUUCUGAGCUGGGUUAUAUUGAGCAAAAUAGUCAUUGACAAAACAUUUUUUGGAGCAUUUUGCUAACACGUUUUACAAUGCCCAUUAUAGUUUGCCGACCAUCUUUUCAUCCACGAGAAAGUGCUGAUUUUUCAGAAAAAAUCCUCAAGAAUGCAAUCCAAAGGAAAGAAUUUUAAAAGAUCUAUAAUUGGUUGCUUCUGUAAGGACUUCUUCAUUAUUCCUCAUAGCUUUAUGAUCUAUGCAGACCAAAGGAAAAUGAAAAGAUUAGGAAUGAAUUGGAGAACGCUGUGCAUAUCAUAUGGAACUGCAGGCUACCAUCUCCAAGAGUAAGUGAAGGCUUUGAGUUAUUAGGUUAUUUGGUAGUUUACCAUGUUCGGCAUAUUGAUACGUGUAUUUCAAAAUAGUGUGUAGCAAUUGAUGGUGUUAACGAGCUUGGUUUGGUCUCUGCUCUACAAGUCUCUGUUUUCCCAGAGCUCAUAUUUAUUAAAGCAGGGAAAAUCUUACAUCGCGAGAAAGGUAAAGUUCAUGUGUUAAGAAGUUCAUGAUUGCCUUCAAAAGAAACUAUCAUUGUGAUUUAACUUUAUUUCCUUUUGCUUCUUCAGCAAUUCGAACGGCAGAUGAGUUGCCAAGAAUGAUGGCAUUCUUUUACUUUGGAGCAGCAAUGCCACCCUGUCUUAGUGGCAUUAAGAACUGUUGAAGAUAUGUGAUCUGAUAUUAUGGAAAGAUUUGAUAUUGUAAAUAUUAGGAAAGAUAUGAUUAUAGUAUCAUGUAUUAAUUAGGUAUCAUAUGAUUAUAGUAUCAUAUAUUAAUUAGGUAGUAGAUUGAUUUAGAUUAGCAUGAUUUUAGGAUUCAAAUUAGGUUACACUUGUGUAUAUAUAUAUGUAUAUUGUGUAGUCCAAAGAUAUGUAGAAGAGUAUUUUCUCUCCCUUUGUCUUAGUUUUCAUGGUAUCAGAGCCCUACCAUCAAGGUUAGGGUCUCUGUCCGCUGCCAGAAAAUUCAUUAGUCAUCAUUCGGUUCAUCUGGUUCUGUGUAGGACAUAUCUGUGUUCUAUUCUUCACUCUUGUUUUAAAGAGUUCAGAUCUGUCCUCUUUUGUUUGUUUCUGUUAAUUCUAAACCCAUGGCAGAAACGAAAUCUGUCGUUACGUCUGAUGUGGUUCCUGUGAUGUCCAAGAUCACGGACCACAAACUCAAUAAUUCUAACUAUCUUGAUUGGAGCAAAACAGUUCGUCUUUAUCUGCGAAGCAUUGAUAAAGACAAUCAUCUGACUGAUGAUCCUCCAAAAGAUGGUUCAAGACAAACAUGGCUAAGGGAAGAUGCUAGAUUGUUCCUGCAAAUACGGAAUUCUAUUGACAGUGAGGUAAUUAGCUUAAUUAAUCACUGUGAAUUUGUUAAGGAGUUAAUGGAGUAUUUAGAAUUUUUGUAUUCUGGUAAAGGGAAUAUUUCUCGCAUAUAUGAGGUGUGUCAAGCCUUUUAUCGUGCAGAGAAACAAGAUAAGUCCAUUAUGACUUAUUUUAUGGAUUUUAAGAAAACUUAUGAGGAGUUUAAUCUGUUAUUACCGUUUAGUUCUGAUGUGAAAGUUCAGCAAACUCAACGGGAACAGAUGGCAAUUAUGAGUUUUUUGGCUGGUCUUUCACCUGAAUUUGAAGCUGCUAAAUCUCAGAUUCUUUCCAGUCCUGAGAUCUCAUCCUUGCAAGAUGUGUUUAGUAGGGUGCUUCGCACAGAGAAUACCCAGUCUGUUCAGUCCAGCAGUGCUCUUGUUGGUCUUGGAAAACAGCAAUACAAAGGUGGUGGUAAAGGAAUUGACACUCGGGGACAGAAUGUAGAAGUGGUUGUGUGUUACUAUUGUCAUAAGCCGGGUCAUAUGAAGCGUGAUUGUAAGAAAUUGCAGUACAAGAACCAGAGAACUCAAUCCGCACAUAUUGCUUCUACCAAUGAUGCUAUUAACCAUGAAAAGUCUGUUACGAUCUCUGCAGAUGAAUUUGCUAAAUUUUCUCAGUAUCAAGAAUCAUUAAAGUCUUCAUCUACUCCCGUAACUGCCAUCGCUGAGUCAGGUAAACCAAACACAUGCCUUGUGUCCUCAUCCUCCAAAUGGGUAAUUGAUUCUGGUGUCACAGAUCAUAUGACAGGUAAUUCUAGUUUAUUUUCUACCUUUCAGCCACACACAUCUGCACCUACAGUUACCUUAGCUGAUGGGUCAAAAUCUCGUGUUCUUGGAUCAAGCUCAGUUAACCCCACUCCAUUAAUCUCAUUGUCAUCUGUCUUAAGUUUGCCUGAGUUGUCUUUUAAUCUAAUUUCUGUGAGUAAACUUACUCGUGCCCUCAAUUGUUCUACCCAAUUGCUUGUUUCAGGAUCUUACGACGAAGCAGAUUAUUGGUAAAGGGCAUGAAUCUGGAGGUCUUUACAUUCUUGACACACAGAUACCAAAGUCCAUAGCUUGUUCUGGAAUUGUAACUCCAUUUGAAGCACAUUGUAGGCUGGGUCAUCCUUCUCUCCCGUUGUUAAAGAUACUUUGUCCACAAUUUCAGAGUUUGUCUUUAUUAGAUUGUGAGUCUUGUCAGUUUGCUAAACAUCAUCGUGUUAAUCUGAGUCCUAGAGUCAAUAAACGGGCGGAUGCUCCUUUUGCAUUAGUUCAUUCAGAUGUCUGGGGACCUAGUCCAGUCAUUUCUAAAACUGGAUUCAAGUAUUUUGUUACUUUUGUCGAUGACCAUUCUCGUAUGACUUGGUUAUAUUUGAUGAAAAAUCGGUCAGAGUUGUUUUCUCAUUUUUGUGCUGAGGUUAAGACCCAAUUUAAGCGUUCUGUACAAAUAUUGCGAAGUGACAAUGCCAAAGAAUAUUUAUUCGCACCUUUUCAAUCUUAUAUGGUGCAAAAUGGCAUUAUUCAUCAAACCUCUUGUGUGGAUACGCCAUCCCAAAAUGAGGUCGCAGAACGAAAGAAUAGACAUUUGCUCGAAACUGCAAGAGCCUUAUCAUUUCAAAUGCAUGUUCCUAAACAUUUUUGGGCUGAUGCAGUGUCCACAGCUUGCUUUCUAAUUAACCGUCUGCCUUCAUCUGUUUUGAAUGGUGGGACUCCUUAUAACACUCUUUUUCCAAAUAGACCCUUGUUUCCCAUCGAACCUAAAAUCUUUGGGUGUACAUGUUUAGUUCGCGACUCUCGUCCCCAAGUCACUAAAUUAGACCCCAAAUCAUUGAAAUGUAUUUUUCUUGGUUAUUUCCGUGUCCAAAAAGGAUAUAGAUGUUAUUGUCCUAGUCUCGGCAGGUACAUUGUGUCAGUUGAUGUUACUUUUCUUGAAAAUACACCUUUUACCCCAUCCUCAUCUCAUUCAUGUCAGGAGGAGGAUAAUGAUUUGUUAAUCUAUACUGUCACAUCCUCAAGUUCUUCCCCUGCUAAACCUCCAAUUACUCAGGUAUAUUCUCGACGACAAAAGUCUCCUGAUGCAUGCCCUGAACCGGUUCCUUCGCUACUAGAUCCUGUCUCAAAUGAUGAUCUUCCUAUUGCUCUUCGCAAAGGUAAGCGUCAAUGCACUUAUCCUGUGUCUUCGUGUGUAUCUUAUAAUCAUUUACCCACCUCUUCUUGUUCCUUUAUUACAUCUAUUGAUCCUAUCUCCCUUCCUAAAACUGUUCAUGAAGCCCUAUCCCAUCCCAGAUGGCACAAUGCUAUGAUAGAGGAGAUAAAUGCUCUAGAUGGUAAUGAUACUUGGAACUUAGUAAAUUUACCUGCAGGGAAGAAGGCCAUUGGGAGUAAGUGGAUUUUUGCAGUUAAAUUUAAUCCUGAUGCGUCGGUUGCUUGGUUAAAAGCUCGUCUUGUUGCCAAAGGCUAUGCCCAAAUCUAUGGAGAGGAUUAUUCUGAUACUUUUUCCCCUGUUGCUAAGUUAACAUCUGUCAGGUUAUUCAUUUCUAUGGCAGCCACUCAUAAUUGGCCUUUGCAUCAACUAGAUAUCAAGAAUGCCUUUCUUCAUGGAGACCUCCAAGAGGAAGUUUAUAUGGAGCAACCACCAGGGUUUGUUGCUCAGGGGGAGUCUGGGAAGGUUUGUCAUCUUCGGAAGUCCUUGUAUGGACUGAAACAAAGUCCUCGUGCUUGGUUUGGAAAAUUUAGUCUAGCAGUUGAAAGGUUUGGGAUGCAGAAAAGCAAAUCUGAUCAUUCUGUUUUCUACAAACAGUCUGAAGUUGGUAUUGUUUUGUUGGUAGUAUAUGUGGAUGAUAUUGUUAUCACUGGGAAUGAUGCUGCAGGUAUUUCAUCUCUUAAAACUUUUCUUCAUAGUCAAUUUCAGACAAAGGAUUUGGGGCUGUUAAAGUAUUUUUUGGGUAUUGAGGUAGCAAAGAGUAGGAAGGAGAUAUUCCUGUCCCAAAGGAAAUAUGUUCUUGACUUGCUAUCUGAAACGGGAAAAUUGGGGGCUAAACCAGCUAGUACCCCAAUGAUUCCUAACUUGCAGCUCACAAAAGAAGGUGAAUUGUUAGAAGAUCCUGGGAGGUAUAGAAGAUUGGUUGGAAAGUUGAAUUAUCUUACAGUAACUCGUCCAGAUAUCGCGUAUUCAGUUAGUGUUGUUAGUCAAUAUAUGACUAAUCCUACUGUUAGAAUUGGAAUUGAAUUAGAAUUGAAAUUCUAUAGAAUUUGAAUUCUAUGAAUUAGAAAUCCAAAUCCUUGCAAUUCUUUCGUUUGGAAAAUACAUAGAAUUGAUACGGAAUUUAUUUGGAAUUCCAAAUCUUUUGUUUGGAUGAGAGAAGAAUUUAUUAGGAAUUAGAAUUGUUUUCAUAAAACAUUUGCUUACAUAAAAUUUUUCUUUUUUUUAUAUAAUAAUUUCUUUUUUUUCUUACAUUUAGCUAAUUUUUACUAAAAAUUUAAAGGAAAAAUGCAAAUUACUUUCUUUUUUGGCAAAAUAUCAGCCAAAACCCCGAAAUUUACAGUUGAAGAACGGAAAAGAAAGAAAAUUUUAAAAGAAUCAAGGAAAGUAGUGGUAAAAUGAAUCAACUACUACUAGUAUAGAACUGAAACGUCCAAGUUCCUUUUCCUUUUUCAUCCCCCCAAGACACCCUCCCCAAACGCGUGUCAUUAACUCUCCCAUUUUCCCUUUCUUUGUUUCCUUUUCUCUCUCUCAAUCAACACCACAACCACUUCGUCGAGGCACCACCUUGACCACAACUCCGUCGGCACCUACGCCACCACUGAAAAUUAUGGACUGAAUUCCCAAAACUCCUCACCACCCUUCUUAUAAGACCUAUACAUAAACUCCUACUUAACUGGAAAAUUAAGAUACUAACUAUAAAAGAACAAAAAUCAGUGAGCCAAAACUCAAAAGCCUUGUAUGAUGGCGGAGCUGGCUCAAUCCGCCGACGUCUACGCGCCGAAGACUAUACAAGUUUGGAGAGCACUAUUAAACUGGCUGGCUUUCUUCUUCCAGAUCUUCGUUCAGAUCAUCAGAGGCACGUCGUCGCUGACUCAGGUCCUGUCUUACGUUGGCCUGCGCCACUCCUCUCUUCUCUCUUCUUCAUCGCCUCAGUUCAAGCCUUUAGUGAUGGGUGAAGGCAGCACAAGUGAAGGAGGCGGCGGCAGGAAUGCUCCAACAGAGCAUUAGAUAUGGCGAUUGAUAAUGGAAAGAGAAGAGAGGUUUGAGUUUUUUCCAUCACUUUUAUAGUUGACCCAUUUUUUAGAUUUU